rnacentral:lncRNA from 1 species
AGUUGUUUUCAAUGAUGGAGCUUCAGAAUCGACGAUCCACUCCGUUAAAUAUGAUCUAGAGUAUUUGAAACUUUUAUAAAAUAAAUUUCGUAAAUUUUUGAAAUCAUAAUAAAGUCCAUCAAGUGGGCAUAAAAUGAACGGUCAAAAUCGAACGACGUCCUAAAAAAGGAUGAUCGGAUCCUUCAAUUCAAGAUCAGAGUUAUUGAUCUUUAUCUAUGUAGUGAAUAGAAUUUUCUAUCAAAAAUUCAACAAAUUCCGAUUCUUUUACACCGUUAAACUAGCAAGUAUCCCAUACCGGCCGUUAAAAAUUGUCAAAUUUGUGACCUCUUGAUCGUAAGGUAAAUGAUGUCGAAAAUUUAUAAAAUUUGAUUUCUAGAAGUUUUAAAUGGUGCAAAUAACAUUUAACGGUGUGGAUCGUCGAUUCGGAAGCUCUAUCAUCGAAAACAACUUAUGAGUACGAGGGCGAUCGUACUCAUAAUAGUAUAGUAGCCGGACCCUAUAUAUAUAUAUAGAGAGAGAGAGAGAGAGAGAGAGAGAGAGAGUUAGGCUGGUAUACUAUCGAUAGCACCACGGGCUUGGUGCUAUUGAGUUUUCCACCGUUAGAUUUAACCCUUUGAUUAUCUUUACCCGUUAGAUUAUACUAUUCAACCAACCACCCAUUCAACCCUAGGGGGCCCACAUCAUCCUAACUGUACAUUUCUUAAUCCAAGGGCUAAAAAACUAAUAGUACCAAUAGUUUGGUGCUAUUGAUAGUAUUCCAGCCUAGUUCUAUAUAUAUAUAUAUAUAGAACCCGGUUGCAAUAUUGGCAACAACACCAAGCAUUUAGUGCUUGUAAGUUUCUCACCAUUAGAUCUACCCCUUGGACAUUUCUACCUGUUAGAUCAUACUAUUCAACCGACUACACAUUCAAUCCUAGGGGACCACUAUUAUUCUAACCGCACAUCGCUUCAUCCAAGGGCCGAAAACUUAAUAGUAUCAAUGACUUGCUGCUAUUAAUAGUAUUAUAGCCUAGUUCUAUAUAUAUACACACACAUAACAAAUACAGUUUGACUAGAAUGCUAUCAAUAGCACCAAGCACUUGGUACUACUGAGUUUUUCACCGUUAGAUCUAUCCCUUUGACCAUUUCCAUCUCUUAGAUCAUACAAUUCCACCAACCGCCCACUAAAUCCUAGAGGACCACUAUCAUUCUAAUAAUAUAUCUCUUCAUCCAAGGGCCGAAAACCUAAUAGCACCAAUGACUUGGUGCUAUUGAUAAUAUUCUAGCCUAGUUCCAUAUAUAUAUAUAUUGAACUAGGUUUGUGUGCGUAUAAAAGCACGGCGACCUUCGUGUUAUCAAGUCGUUUAUGAUGUUGGGACUUCCGAAUCGAUGAUCAGCUCUGUUAGACUUGAUCUAAAGUAUUUGAAGUACCUAGAAAAUAAAUUUUGCAAUUUUUUAAUAUUAUUUAUCUAGUGAUUGAAGGGGCCCAAAAUCAACAAUUCGAUCAUGGGACAUCCGAUUUGACGAUCGGUUUUGUUAGAUAUAAUUUACGAUGCUGGAAGUAUCUAGAAACCAAAUUUCAUAAUUUUUUGACAUGCUAAGUGAUCGAAGGGUCUCAGAAAUGACUAUUUUAAUGGCCGAUGUGGCAUGUUUGUAAGUUAAAUGGUGUAGAACAAUCAAAAUUAGGUGAAAUUUUAAUAAAAAAAUUCUAUUUAUCAUCAAGAGCAAGAUCAUUUUGUCUAACCUAAAAUUUGUCUUUUAUUACUAUUUUUUAUGAGAUUUUUUAUUUUUAGACGUUCAAUUUAGACUAUUCGUUCACUAGGCAAAUGAAGCUGAAAAAUUAUGAAAUUUCGUUUCUAGAUAGUUUCAAUAUAAUAAAUCAUUUCUAAUGGAGCCGAUCGCCACAUUGGAUAUCACAUCAUCGAAAACAACUUAAAAGCACGGAGGUUCCGUGCUUUCGAAAGCAUAGUAGCCUUAUAUGUAUAUACAUAGAGAGAGGGAGAGAGGGAGAGAGGGAGAGAGGCUUCAGUCCAGCUACUAUCCUCUUAAGAAGGUAGAGGCUUUUGUUCUGUCAAGUCAUUUUGGAUUAUUGGGACUCCGAAUUGAUAAUCGGCUACUAUCCUCUUAAGAAGGUAGAGGCUUUUGUCCUGUCAAGUCAUUUUGGACUAUUAGGACUCCGAGUUGAUAAUCGGUAUUGUUAAAAUUGAUCUACACUAUUAGAAAUAUUUAGAAACUGAAUUUUGUAAUUUUAAAAAUCAUUAUGAAGUCCAUCGAAAGAGUCGAAAAAUGAAUGGUUAAAAAUGAAUAACCUUGUGAAAAUAGAGGUUAGACUUUCUGAAUUCAUGAUCGGAGUUAUCAAAUGUUAUCUAAAUAGUAAAAAGAAUUUUUUAUUAAAAAUUCAAGCGGUUUGGAUUGCUAUACACUGUUAAACAAGCAGACGACUUACAUAGGCCGUAAAAAAGAGUUGAUUUUGCGAUCCUUUGGUCACUACGUUAAUAAUUUUCAGAAAUUAUGAAAUUUGGUUUCUAGAUACUUCAAAUACUGUAUAUUAAUUUUAACGGUUCUGAUCAUUGAUUCGGAAUCCCUACCUUCAAUAACUUGAUAGCGCGAAGACCUCCAUUCUCCUAAAAAGAUAGUAUCUGGAUUCUGUCAAUAUAUAUAAAGUAGAGUUAGAAUACUAUUGAUAGUAUGAGAAUAGUAUUUACUAGCAACUUUUGACCAUUGGAUGCCUUUGGGUUUAGUGGGGGUUCGUGGAAUAGUAAUAAUUCAAGGGUGGAAAUAUUGAUAGUAAAUACCAUUCAUAUACUAUGAAUAGUACAUUAGCUCCACUCAAUUCUCUCUCUCUCUCUCUCUCUCUCUCUCUCUCUCUCUCUAUAUAUAUAUAUAUAUAUAUUGAAACUUGUACUCCCUCUUAUGGAGCUCUAUCUUCUUCGCACAUUUGUUACACUUCUAUCUCAAUUACUUUAAUGACAUCAUGAAUGUUUUCUAUCUGAGAACUCAAACCUGAAAGCCACUGCUAUUUCCUUUUAGGCUUGAAGCAUUAUCUUAUUUACUGUUUUUGAACCUGGAAUGUAUAAACUCCUUUCUUCACUUUGUCUGCACCGUCAAAUUGCUCCUACAUUUUUCUCUGUUCUUUUGAAUGAUAAGCAACUUAAGUCACUCAAUUCUUAUUGUUGUAGUUGAAUGCUGAUGCAUAAUGUGCUUAAACUCUGUGAAGCUUUUAGUUUCAGUAUUUUUUGUCAAUCUAUUCAUGAAGAACUGUGAACGAUUUUUUUUUUUUGAAUUUAUAAUUUUGUGAAAUGCUUUUCAGCUGGAUUGACAGAGCAGAUCAAGUUAGAUCGUUAUCUACAGCCUCAUUUCCGUUAUUACAUGAGGGAAGUCCGCACUGUAGUUUAUUCUCAAUUCCUUGAAUCCUACAAGAGCGUUACGAUGGAAGCAAUGGCUAAUGCAUUUGGUGUGACCGUGGAUUUCAUUGAUCAGUAAGUAUUUUUGCUUUGAUUUGUAUUCUAUGCACCGUCAAUUUCUGUCCGUUAGACCUUGUUUGAUAUGUAUACUUUUUUCACUGGAUGGUCAAACCCUGAUAUCAUUGUUUCACUUUUUUCUCUCUAUCUUUUUUUUUUUCUUUUUUGGCAUAAUGAUGAAUUUAGGAUUUGAAGAUUUAAUCUUGACUUUCACACCGUCAGAGUAUUCCAGUUUAUUAUUUUAGUCCCUAACUUUUGUCCAACAUAUCUGCUACUUGUGUUAGUCUAUAGUCUUAAAGAAGAAUGUCACAUCACCAUUAUCGUGUUUAGGGUUUGCUGAUUAAAUAAAUCUUUUUAGGUUGGGGAACCUGUCAGCGAACUCUACUGACAGAAAUGACAUGAUGCUUAUUUCUAAGAUGGUAGAUUAAUGGGGGGACUUCGUUGUUAGGUGGGAUAAACUAUACGGGUCAAGAUCUGCAUCUAAACUUUCUUUUCUGCCAGGGAACUUUCUCGCUUCAUAGCAGCUGGAAAACUUCACUGCAAGAUCGACAAAGUCGCCGGCAUUCUAGAAACUAACCGACCUGAUGCCAGAAAUGCUUUCUACCAGGCAACUAUCAAGCAAGGCGAUUUCUUGCUCAACCGCAUCCAGAAGCUAUCACGAGUGAUCGAUUUAUAAACAAUCUUUUGUCCUUUAUACUUAAUAUGGUGCUGAAAUUUCCUUUCAUCUUUUCAUACAUCAACUCUAUGAAGCUCCUUAUCCCUAAAUUCAGUUGACAUUUGUUUGGACAGAAAUUUCUGAGUCAAUGCGUGUCGUUUUGAAUUCUUAUAUUUCCUGUUUGUCAUUUUAACUAAAAUUAGCGCACAAAUAGUUUUUUCGUGUUGGUAGUGCAGUUAAUUCGGCAGUACUGUUUACUUCAAAUUGAAUUUAUUGGUAGAUGUUUAGUGCUGGCUCGAUAAAAAUAACUGAAUUUUCUACACUUACCUAAUAAUCUAAGGGAAGCUGAGCACUUAUUUGCAAAAUAUGUUUUAUAUUUCUUGAAAUUUAGUUGCCUUUCCCUCUUUUCGUGUCUAGGCCGAUAAGAAGGAUAGGAUGGGAGAUUGAGUGCUGUUUGUGUUGGCAUGUAAGUUGUGAGAAGUUUGAAGUGGUUUUUGUGCGGUAGUCCGAGAUAUAUAACGAGCAAUUGCGUGCUGUUACAGGUCCUGUGUUGGCGCAGCAUAUAAUGUGAUGUGAAGGGUUUGGGUGGUUUUUAUGCACAAGUCCGAGAUAAUUGGGAAGUGAGUGCUGUUGUGGGUCUCUGUUGGCGUAUGUGAGGGGAAGGUUUUGAGUGGUUUUUAUGCAAUAGUCCAGACACAAUGUCUGAAUGAAUGAAUGAAUAUGCAAAUGCAUUAUCUUCUACCUAACCUACGGAGAUACAUUUUGGGGUUACAAAAUUAUUAGUGAGAAAAGACUAGUUUCCAGGUUACCGUCGCAAGUCACUUCUCAAGAUGGCAGCCACCGUGAGUUUGGGUUCUCCACUGUUAGCCCAGUGGAAUUUUUGCCCUCCGUCCGCUAGUGUAGACCUAGCAAUCACUAUCCAUGCGGAUAUUUACAGAUUACUUGCAAAUUUGUGACUAUAGAUAUUUAUUUUUUUUAUCCAAAAAAUUAUGGAUAAAAUAGGUGGAUAUUUAAUUGUUAAGUUGUGAGCAUUUUAGACAAUAUGUGGAUAUCUAUUUUUUGAUAAAAUGGGUGGGUACUUUUCAAGUUGUGGGCCUUUUGGACAACCUGCAGGUAGCCAUUUUUUAGAUAAAAUGGAUGGGUACCCGUUAAAUUAUAGGCAUGUUAGGCAACCCGCGGGUACCGACGGAUACCCGCAUAUAUUGUUUUUAAUUUAAAAAUAUAUACUCUUUAUGAUAUUGACUUUAUAACCAUGAAAAUUUUACUAAGUUUAUAUUAUAAAAUUUUCGGAGGACAAAAUACUUUUAUAUUAUAUUACGCUUCAUGAUUUUAUAUUGUUUGUUGGUAUUUUAAACAACAAGUUAUGUUAUACUUUUAAAAAUUAUAUAUUUGUGUUUUGUAUUUGAAAAAUGUAGAAGCGAAAAAGAAAAUUUUUUUUUUACGAAUAACCUGCAUACCCACCAAGUGGAUAUGGACCUGCACUAUAAAAAGAUGGAACAACUAUGACCCGGUUGUGGGCUCGACUAUCCAAAAUUUUACGGGUAAAUUUUAUCCAUGCCUAUAUGAUUCACGGAUAUAAUGAGCUGCUUUGCGGAUUACCCAAUCCCCAGUUUGCUAGUUCUAGUGAUAAGGCGUUUCCGUGCGGAGCUAAAUAUUGUAGGUGUGAUUUGGGUUAUACUAAAAAAAAAAUCUGUAUAGCCUCAAUUAGAAAGUAUAAGAGACCCCCACCACAUCUUUAGCUUGAAAGAGUCAACCAAGCAACCAAUCAGAUAUCAAGACAGCAGAAUUUUCAAGAUUCUUGAUAAUGAUAAAAUAACUUGGGAACAUGGCUAAACUAUCCAUCAUUCUCAAUAUUUGACUCUGAUGUAUGCUUUAGCCAUUCUUUUAUUAUAAUAACUUUUCUAUUCACCAACCGUCUCUAAAGCAAGUGGCAAAGGGCUUGAUAGUUGGUACCGGAGACCCAAGUUCGAAUUCUAAUUGAUUCACAUUUCCAGCUAAGUUUAUUUCUAAGUGAAAUAAACGAAUAAACGAAGCGGGUAGCGUGCUAUCUAUCUCUCUCAAAAAAAAAAUCUUUUCUAUUUCGAAAAACAGUAUAUGAUAUAAUUUUAUUGAGACAGAAAGCUACGUGAUUAGAUUUAUUCAAGCCCAUAAAGUUCAUCCAACUAUGACCCUCGAGAUUUAUUUUCCUUACAAUAGAAAAAUGUAUCCACUGAAUUCUAUGAAGCAAGAAAAAUCUCAGUAGGUGUUCAGUUAGCUAUUAUCAGAAAGAAGUUGUGCAAACCCUUUAUUUGACACUACUACAGGUAAUAUUGUUACACAGGAGACUGACUAUUCAAGAGAAACUUAUUUUAAUUUUAUCAUCAACCUGCAUAUGCCCGAGUACUAAUAAAGUUAACAUAAAACAGCCUCACAAUGGCAGCUUUUCUAAGCAGUAUGAUGAUGCUGCAUGGCCACAAGCUGAAGACCAGACCUCUUGUGCAUGGUCAUGCCUGGCAGCUCUUCCAUGUCCAUCUCCUCUCUCCUCAUUCCCUCCGGAAGCUCCCAAUCAAAAGAGUAAACCAAGUUUGCGACCGCGAGCUCGACCGACGUAGACCCGACACCCAUCCCCGGACAAAUCCUCCGACCGGACCCGAACGGUAUCAGCUCAAAAUCAUGGCCUUUGUAAUCUAUCGCGCUGCCCGUGAACCUCUCAGGAUUGAACACUUCAGGGUCCUUCCAUGUGCCGGGGUCUCUUCCUAUUGCCCAUGCAUUGACGUACACCCUCAUGCGCGGCAGCACAUCGUAUCCGCCGAUCGAGCAAUGUCGGAUCGCUUCGUGUAUGAGUAGUAGCGGGACCGGCGGGUGGAGUCUGAAUGUUUCCUUGAUCACUGAUUUCAGAUACGGCAGUUGCGGCAGAUCGUCUUCUUCCACCUUUCCUUUCGGUCCUACGACGGUUCUUACUUCAUUUUGCGCCUUCUUCAUGAGUUCUGGGUUCUUUAUAAGUUCCGCCACUGCCCACGUCAUGGCUGCGGCGGCUGUUUCGGUUCCAGCAACGAAAAUAUCCUAAUUAUUUUUGCGCAAAGAGGAGACGUUAGUCAACCGACAAUAUAGGUUACACAAGAAUUUUAGGUAACCAGUGUUUUAUAUUAUUAGCCAUCCACUGGUAAUUAGGACUGUGUCGCUUUACUAUACUCUAAUAAGAAGGUUAAUUGCUGUUCAUUCUAAUCCAUUUAUAUAUCUUGAGAUAUAUAAUGGAUCCUCGAUUGCAAUAAUUCAAUAAAAGUAGUUCACUAAUUGUUACAUGCUCAAUUUUCGACAUGUCGAGGCAAAUCUAUAAUUAAUUAAUCGGGUAGAACAUACCGAAAUCAACGCCUUAAUGUUGUCGUUUGUCAGGUGUUCUUUGUUAUCCCUCGAGAGCCGAAGCAAUGCGUCGACUACAUCUUCCUGAUCCGAUCUCGCCGUUCUCUCGCGACCGACGUGCUCAAGGAUGAGCUGCUCAUAGAAGGCAUCUAGCUCUCUCACAUUCCUCUCGAGCCUACUAAUGAGUCCGCGAAGCUUGUCGAUCCAUCCCAUCGACGGAAAGUAGUCCUCGACGUAAAACGAGCACAACAUGACCUGCAGCUCGUUGAAGAUCUUUUGCAGCUUACCGUCCUCAGCCUCCCGCUCUUGAUACUUCUUUCCGAGCGCAACCCUGCAUAUUAUGUUAUUCGCGAGAUCAACCAUCGUCUUACUCAGAUUAAUCGGAGCAGACGACGACGACGACGACGACGGCGACGAACGCGAGAUUGCUUCGAUCAUCUUCGACAUCUCAUCCUCUCUUAUGGCGCGAAAGAUUGGUGCCCUCUUGGCCCCGAAGAGUUCGACGGUGAACAGCUUCCUCAUCUCUCUCCAGUAUUCUCCGUAGGGCGAGAAGCUCACGUCCACGGAAUUGUAACUGUAUCUGUCUGUCGCCACGAGCCGCGGCCGUGAGCAGAGAUCGAGAUCGUGGGUUUUCAGAACUUCUCUCGCCAUCUCGGAAGACGAAACAACGACCGAAGGGAUGCUGCCUAGCUGCAGAAACAUGAGCGGGCCAUGCUUCUGAGAGAGGUUAUAGAAGAUUUGAUGAGGAUGAGGACCAAGUACUUGGUGCAAGUUCCCUAUGAUGGGGAGCUUCUUUGGGCCCGGAGGGAGGGUGUGUUUUGCACCUUUACUUGUGCGGUAUGAUGACAGGAGGAGGAGGAGGAUAGAGGGGAGCGCAAUGAAAAGAAGGGUGAGAAGUAUCUGGUAGAUAGCCAUUAGCAAGUGUUGAUUUGUUUCCGUUCCGAGAGAAAGAGGCCCAGAUGUGAGAAGGUUAACUGAUUCUCAGAAUCAUGAGAUGCUGAUGAUGAUUUAUACUGUCAGCUGUUGCAGGAAUUUCUGUUCUCUGCUAAGCCAUAUUGUCAAUUGCUGCAGGCAGCAGGCAAAGUUUGCUUUCAUGCUGACGUAUAUAUAUAGUUGAAAACUUGUAAUCCCACAUUUGCAGUUUACUGACCAGGCGCAAAAGUUCAAUUAGCACUUUAACCCCUAUAGCUUCUGCUUUAGUUGUCAUUAGAAUGCCCUAGCCUAUCAAUCAGUGUAUUUUCAAUGUUACAUACAUAUAAAACUAAAGAAUUUUAAAAGGGAUGUUGCAAAGCCACAACAUUGCGUUUAUAGAAACUCUUUUAAAUGGACUAAAUUACAAUCGUAAUAGAGUUGUAAGCAUAGCAGCAAAUCUUAAUAUAUAUUGGGCAUAUUUGGUCAUCUAUUUUAAACUAUAAAAUCGAAACAGAAUUCAUUAAUUUCGAUAGUUGUAGUUUGUUUUAUAGGAAUCGAAUUUCGAUUCCCAUUUCACUCCAGAAUGAGAACAUUCAAAUCUAUUUUGGGCCCAAUUCUGUUUUAAAUUUCGGAUUGGCCUAUUCUAAAGUAAACUAUUCAAAAUUCUUUUUUACCAAUACUUACUUCCUUUCUCUUAAUCCAAAUAUUCUCGCAAAAAUUCUAAAUUUUAAUUUCGAUUUUCAUUCCAAUAAUCAAUCAAAUAUUUUUAAAUAAUUUGUCAUUUUAUUUUUCAGUUUAAAAUAAAUUUUUUUUUUUUAAUUUUUAUGAACCAAAUCCAUUGAGUUGGUAACAGCUUUGGAUGCCGCAAUAUCUGACCUACUUUUGUAAGAUAAGAUCUGAUCUUUUAUUUAGAUAUAAUUUAUGUCUCAUAUCAUUUAAGAUUGUGCCUGUCUUUUUCCCCUCUUUUUUAAGUCUUACUUUUCAUCUUUUUGUCUUUUGGAGUAUUCACCUCCUCUCACGUCACGUUGACUAACUGACAUGUUCAAUGGUUCAUUUGCCACCGUUUCUUGGGACUCUAAUUGUGCGGCAAGCUUUCCGGGCCUCGAGUCUGUUAAUGACAUCAAAUUUAUUUUUAAUAAUUAAUAUUAUAAAAUAAAAUUUAUUUUUAAUAAUUAAUAUUAUAAAAUAAAAAUUUGACUUGAUAUACAUGAUCUAGUUAGCAAAAAUAAAAUUUUUUGAAGAGGAUUUUAUUGCCAAACUGAAGAAAUUACAAUGAGGAGCUCGCUUCAGACCUCUAUUCUAGCCUGAACCUCCAACAGGGAAGCCCUCGAAGUGACAAAGUUGCCAAAGGAUAAUGUGUCCGACGCUGGAAAAAUUUUAGAAUGUAACGGGUAUAUUGGUGAUGUGGCGUAACAAACCAAUCAAAUGUAUCCUUUUAGGAGUAUAUGUUCCAUCAUAAUUAUAAAAAAAAUAUUUUUAUUGCACUUUUGUUUGAAAAGAAGGAAUGUGAUUGGCUUGUUAUUAAUGACGUGGUACAGGUGUGACAGUGUAGAAUUCCUCCCGACGUAGGCAGAGCUGAAGGUCUAUGAGGCAUUGAGGAAUUAGAAGUGCCCUGUAGGUUAUCAACCUGCUACAUAUUCUUCUUGACGUUAUCGUCGGUACUUUUUUUUUUCCCUCCUAGUGUUUACUAUCGUUUGUUGAGGUUAAGACCCUGAAAGAUUAGGAUCUCGGCUAAGAAUCUGAAAUACUACUAAACUCUUUGAAUAAUGUGUUGUACGGAACGACUAAACCUACUGAAACCCUUGGUCUAUUCUCUAUCUAAAACUACUGAAAGCUAAAGCAUGUUUUUUUUUUUUUUUUUUUUUAAGAGAGAGAUAGAUAACACGCCACCGACUUCGUUUAUUUUAUUUAUAAAUAAACUUAAUUAGCUAGAAAUGUGAAUCAAUUAGGAUUCGAACUUGAGUCUCGGAUAUCAACCACCAAAUUUUUUGCCACUUGCUCUAGGGACGGUCGGUAAAGCUUAUGCAUGUUAAAGCUACUGAACUUAAUAUCUACUAUCUUAUAUUCUUUUUAAGUCUCUCAAUCUCUUAAAUUUGUGAAUGAUUAAUUAGAAAAAAAAAAGUCCCUCUAUCUUUCUGAUCCACUAACAUAUUUAUAGCCUCCUUGAAUCCGACUCUGAGUCCACCAUAUAUCCACCAAAUCUCAGCCAAGUACCGAAUUUUUAGUCAUAAUUAUCUCAUUUCCUUACAAUGAACGACCAAAAUUUUUCAGCGCAGUGGUCAAGAUUUCUCGUUUUCGAUUCACGCUAAUAUUCUUUGCCUCAAUAGCAACGGCCUAGAUUACCUUCCAUCCUUGAAGUCCAAUGGCCAGAUUUUGGAGCAUACAUAAAAUUAUAUAGGAUUAAAAAUUUUAUAAGUUGUCUAAAAAAAUAUAAAAUACAAUAUCUACUUGCAUGCCUAGUGCAAGUAAUAAUUUUCUUACUGUUGGGCCAAUUCAGUGCGGACAGCUGGCAAGUCGGGACUACGACCAUAAUCCAUGUCAAAAUGAUGGAUCGGGAGUAUAUAAAACGCGCCAGAAGAUAUGAGUCGCAUCUAUUCAAAAAGCGUAGCAACCGCAAGCGGUUAUGAGCAGUUCCAAUCGGCCGAAGGUGGUCCUAAAAAUCAGGAGAUAGUGGCCGAUCAUGCAGUGACAAUAACUGAACGCAAGGGCAACUUUAUAAAUAGACAUACGGCACCCUGAAAAAAGGGUCUUCGCCCCUGCGCACAAAAAACCACCUUUAUUUUCCUGCAUCUUUCUAUUCUCGCAUUUAUCGCUUUCCUUAGGAGUAGUUCCUGUAAUUUAGCAUACUUGGAGUCUGUCUGCCCUAAGGGCAUCACUCUCCUGUUCUCAUACUUAGAGUCUGUCUGCCCUAUGGGCAUCACUCCCCUAUUCUUGUACUUUUCCCAUUUGCUAUUCAAUAGAAAAUCAUUUUCGGCUCUUCCUGCCGAUCAGAUCUCGAGUUGCUUAGCCAUUCGGCUCAUCUCUCAGUCGAAUUCUGGGCUUCCCCUCUCCAUUCGGCUCAUCCUGCCGAAGCGAAUUUACUGCAGAGGUUUUCAAACCCGGCUGAUUCGAUCCUUCAUCGGCCGAAUCGCUUGAUCCAUCGUGGGCGCAAACUUCGAGGGUCAUCAUCCGCGGCCGCGGCCGUAAUUCCAACUGAGAUAACAGUUACUUUUUUAAGGAUAGAGAAACAAAAAGACCUCUCGGCUGAUGAAUAUAUUGAUCUAAUGAAAGACAAAGCAGAGGAGAUAAUAGAUACUCGGUUGAUAGUUUUAGACAAUAUGCAAGCAUACCAAAGCCGAGUACGUAGUGCAUAUAAUAAGAAAGUUCGAUCAAAGACGUUUGUCGUCGGUGAUUUAGUACUUCGGCUAGUUUUUCCAAUCAGUCAAAAAGACCGAAUGUAUGAAAAAUGGUUCCCAAAUUGGGAAGGACCAUUCCAGAUUAGCCGAAUCACAAGAGGAAAUGUAUAUUACUUGCAAAACAGGGAUGGGUCAGAAAGUGAAAAAUCAAUCAACGAAAAAUAUUUAAAGAAAUAUUACCCAUCUAUAUGGGAAAAUAAUUAAAGUUAAAGGUAGAAUAUUACCAGCCGAAUCAAGAUAAUAAGUCUUUGAGUUGGUUCCAUUCGGCUAUAAGGUUAGCUUGGGCGGCUUCAGCAGCUUUCCUUCGGCGCUUCAUCAGAGGAUGAACUUUGUAAAGUUGAGAAAGCUCCUCUUUAAGCCUUAUCCCCUCUUCCCUUUUGGACUUCAAUUGAUCUUUUAGUUGAAGUCGGCGCUCAGAGGUUUGUGCCAGAGUAGAUUCGGCUGCUGCUAACUCUUCUCUAAGAGUGAAGAUCCGCUUUUGUAGAGCCGAUUCUUGAUCAGCCAAUUCUCUAUCCUCUCGAUGCACUUCAGUAUUCAGAGCUGCUAUAUCAGAAAUAUUCUUCUUAAAAUGAUCAACACGAUGAAAAUGUUGAUCUAAAGCUACAAGUUCGGCGCCCAAAGAUCGCUGCCGAGCCAAAAAAGAUGAAAGUUGAAGUAAUAAGAUUGCUACAAAAUAUUUUAUACCGGGAGUAAUAUCUGAUUGAUCGGUUAAAUCAAGUAAAAGGGCAUAUAGCCGAUCAAAUUGUUCUUAAUUUUGAGCCAAACCAGGAAUACCGGUGCCAUAUAUUUUAAGACAUUCAUCAAACUUGCUUCGGGUGUCCGAUGAAAUGACAAUGGUUGAAGAGUCAUCCCCCUCGGUGGAACUGGGGCUUGAAGUCAAAAAGGAUUGAAGGAUUGCAGAUAAAGGAUCAUCAGAAAUAGGAGAAGAAGCCUCCUGGGUUGAGCGGGGAGGUACAGUACUUUUAUCUCCAAAAGUUUGCUCAAGAGGUAUGUUUAUUUGUUCUUUCCCUGUAGUUGAGGUUGGGAUAGGAGCAGAACGAGGUGAUGCAACCUCGCCCGGUAACGGCAUCGUGCCUGCCGUUUCAACAUAUUUCUUCUUCUUUUCCAUCCCUCUCUUUUUCUCGAGACGGGCUUCCCUGCGAAGCUGCCGUCCCAUCUGCAUCUUCGAAUAAUGAGCAAAAGGGGCUCGUUCAGGAGAGGACUGUAGUUUAAAAGAAAAUAAUAAAUAAUUAAGAAAUGUUCUUUUCGUACAAUUAAUUAAUUUGGCUUACCCCUACAUCAAUCGUUUCGGUUGGAGCAAUUUCUUUGGACGGAAUGUCAGCCGAAGGAAUAUCCUCGGUUUUGUCUUUAGCGGUAUCAGUCAAAAGGGUACUUUCGGCUUGUUGAAAUUUUCUUUUAGCAACUGACUUACGCCGUUUGGAAGACAGCGGAGGAGUAACUUGGACAGUCUUAAUUGGUCUCUUAUCUGAAGUCGGGACCGAUGAAGGAGUGGGUAUAGGCUGACAAUGAAAGUAAAGUGAGUAUUACAAACAUCAAAAUAGAAAAACAAAGGAGGAAUAGAACAGAAAACAUUACCGAGGAAGAAGGCAGAGUUUCAGCAGCCUCUUCUGAUUUUUCUUCUGAUAUAGAUGGCUCGACAGAGCCUUCCGAUUGAGUCCUACUUGGAAAAGGAGCUACAAAUAAAAAAACAAAUGAGUAGCGAUAAUUAUAAGCAGGAAGUUAUUUUCAAAAGAAAUAUCGUACUAAGAGGAUGACGAGUCUUGCGAUGUGCAUGCGAGAGGACAGGAGCGAAGGUUUUCUUGAGGAAGAUAUCCCAAUUUACAGUAUAGCGAAAACCUAAUACUCCGGUAUGAUUUGUCCUGAAGCUAAUCAAUUUGAAAAAUCGCCGUAGACGGUUUCCAAUAGCCGAAAUCUGAUCGGCGUCAGCUAUACUCUUGGUAGGCGGGCGAUGACUGGCAGUGUUAGCCGUGAAAGCUUGGCCGGAGCAGGAAUGGCCUAUGUAAAACCGAAUUGGCGUGCCACAAACUGUGGAGAGUAAACCUCAGUACUGGGUAAUAACUUUGAGCGUGAUUUCAAGCCGAUAUGCAAGUCCCGAGGAGCCUAAAAAGAAUACCAAACAUCAGAAUACUCGCCAGCACGAGAAGAGGCGAGUUCACCUUGAAGUGAUUCAUAUCUGGCUAAAAACCAAGGGGAGCCAGUGACUCGAUCAGCAAAAGUAGACCAAUAAAUAAGAAAGUGAGGGCUCGAAUUAUAAAAAACGGAAAAAUAAGUGAGGAAGUCCAGGGGAUGCCUAGGUGUAAACGGUGGAGGACAGCCAGAGCAAGUCCAUAGGAGUCAAAACGAGCAGCCGAGCUCAAAUCUAAAGGUUCUCGGCACAGCCUACUGAAAUAAAUUUGCAAAAACAUCUGCAAAAACCAAAAAACGCCGCAACCCGAGCUAAUGGUGACACCAUCGCCAGUGGGUGACGGCCUAAUAGAGUCAAAAAUUUCUCUGUAAACAAAAGCAAGAAAAUAGGGCCCAAAGGCCAAUUUAUCGCCGUUAGAUAAACCAAUGGUGAUAGAAACAAAAUCUCGGUUAAUCUUCUGCGAACGAGUGCAGAAAAGAUUAUGACAUAACCAGUACAGAAGGAAUGUCGUAUGUUCCUUCUUGGUAACUGGAGCAGGAGAUUCACCUGCAAACUUACGAAGAAAUUUGGAGUAGGUCAAAUCAUUGAGAUCAAGAUUGGCCUCAAAAUCGGAUACGUCAUUAGGGUUAUAAGCCAUGGAAAGGGUAAUGCCAUGAGGGCGCAGGCCAAUAAUGGCGGCGACAUCAAAAAGAGUUGGGGUGAGAGGGCCGCUUAUAAAAAGACAAAUGUUAGAAACAGGGGACCAGAAACAAACGGCGGAAGCCAAAAGAAGGAAAUCAGCUGAAGGAGGUUUUCGGGAUAGUUGAAUGGCUUCAUAGAUGCCAGUUUCUCGCCAUAAAUCGCCAUAAGUGGCUUGUACACGAUCCAACCCAGCCAAAUAGGCGUCUGAGGUAGUAGGCCAGGUUCGAAAACUUCUUCUCGUCGAAGCCGAAGGAUACCAUGAAUAAAGAUGAAUAUUUUCAGCCAUCAAAGGAAGACCUUCAUUAGAAAAAGGAAAAUCAUCGGCAGAUGGAUCGGCGGUAAAGGAGGGACCCAAGAUAAACCUGGCAGGGUCUGAAUCAAGAUAUGGCCUAAGCAGAGUAUAGUCCAAUGAAGGACGAGUAGGCAAUGGCGGAAGAGGCGCCAUUCUUCGAAGCAAAAGAAAAUGAAGAAGACGCCAAAAGAAGCGAAAGAAGAGUUUCCUGGAAAACGGAGAAGGAAUAGAAGAGACAAAAAGGCAAAAGUUUGGAGAAGAAGAAAGGCUGUCGUGUUGAACCGUCGCAUCGAACCAAGUUUCGAGGUCGGCUUUAAUGAUGAUUAGAUGGCGGUAAUUAAGAUGACCUAAUUAAUGUCGCGUAUGAGACAAAAGUAGAGAAUGUGAUCGAGGCCGUAAAGAAGAGGAUCAACGGCCAAAAUUAAACCGUACAAAAGAUUGUGCUACAAAUUGCUGCAGAUUAUGUCAGAGAAUUUGAAUUUGAUUGGGCCGAGGAAGACGCCUCGGAUCGCACUUGUUUUCAGAAGAUAAGACGAAAAGUAUACCAAGGGUUCAAAAGAUAAUGCCAGCUACCGAAACAUCGCUUCGAAAGCUGCCGAGGGGGCAAUUGUUGGGCCAAUUCAGUGCGGACAGCUGGCAAGUCGGGACUACGAUCCAUGUCAAAAUGAUGGACCGGGAGUAUAUAAAACGCGCCAGAAGAUAUGAGUCGCAUCUGUUCAAAAAGCGUAGCAACCGCAAGCGGUUAUGAGCAGUUCCAAUCGGUCGAAGGUGGUCCUAAAAAUCAGGAGAUAGUGGCCGAUCAUGCAGUGACAAUAACUGAACGCAAGGGCAACUUUAUAAACAGGCAUACGGCACCCUGAAAAAAGGGUCUUCGCCCCUGCACACAAAAGACCACAUUUAUUUUCCUACAUCUUUCUAUUCUCGCAUUUACCGCUUUCCUUAGGAGUAGUUCCUGUAAUUUAGCAUACUCGGAGUCUGUCUGCCCUACGGACAUCACUCUCCUGUUCUCAUACUUGGAGUUUGUCUGCCCUACGGGCAUCACUCCCCUAUUCUUGUACUUUUUCCAUUUGCUAUUCAAUAGAAAGUCAUUUUCGGCUCUUCCUGCCGAUCAGAUCUCGAGUUACUUAGCCAUUCGGCUCAUCUCUCAGUCGAAUUCUGGGCUUUCCCUCUCCAUUCGGCUCAUCCUGCCGAAGCGAAUUUACUGCAGAGGUUUUCGAACCCGGCUGAUUCGAUCCCUCAUCGGCCGAAUCGCUUGAUCCGUCGUGGGCGCAAACUUCGAGGGUCAUUAUCCACGGCUGCUCAUCAUCCCGACGCUCUUCCCGAGGAGGAUACUUGACUGGGUCAAGGGUCGGGACUUUCGGCCACCAACACUUACACUUGCCUGCGCUAGUCUAUUAGUGCAGUGCACACAAUGAACCGAAUUUUUAAUUAUUUAUAUUGUAAACAUAAAUUUUUAUCCAAUAGAUAGAUAGAUCUAUAUAUACCAUUUAAAAAGACUAUGCAUAAAGACUUUAUGAAUAUAUUGUGUAUAAGAUGUACUACGUACACCUACUGCUAGAAACAACUACUUUCACUGCUAUCCCAUAUUUCUAUUGAUCUAUUAAUUUAUUUAAAUUACUUCAAUAGCUUUGUUUCUUAUUGUUAUUCACAUAUAUUUGCCUUUAUAAAUAAUUUAAUUACACCGACCGUCUCUAGCACAAGUGGUAAAGGACUUGAUGGUUGGUAUCCGAGACCCAAGUUCGAAUCUUAGUUGAUUCACAUUUCUAGCUAAGUUUAUUUCUAAAUGAAAUAAACGAAGCGAAUAGCGUGCUACCUAUCUCUCUCAAAAAAAAAAAAAAAAAAACUAAUAACUCUUUAUUUCUCUUAUACCAUCUUCUUCUUCAUUUUUAGCCAACUCUAUUUAAAUUAUUUUAAUAAAAAUUAUUUUUUAUUUUUAUAUUUUAUAGUCUUAUAAAAUUAUCAAAUUAUUAAUAAGUUCCAAUAAAAAUUUUCUUCAUUACUUAAUUAAAUAUAGUUAAAGAAUUUUGUUAUAUAUAUAUAUAUAUAUAUUUAUUUAUUUAUUUAUUUAUAUAGAACUAGACUGGAAUAAUAUCAGUAGCACCAAGUUAUUGGUGCUAUUAGGUUUUCGCCCCUUGGUUGAAAAAAAUGUACGGGUAGGAUGAUGUUGGGCCUCUAGGGUUGAGUGGGUUAUUGGUUUAAUAAUAUAAUCUAACGGGUGGAAAUAGUUAAAAGGUUAAAUCUAACGGCGGAAAACUUGAUAACACCAAACGCUUAGUAUUAUCGAUAGUAUUCCAGCCGGACUAUAUAUAUAUAUAUAGAGAGAGAGAGAGAGAGAGAGAGAGAGAAAGAGAGAGAGAGAGAGAGAGCUAGGCUCCUAUGCUUUCGAAAGUACGGAGGCCUCCAUGCUUGUAAGUUGUUUUCAAUGAUCGAGCAUCCGAAUCAGUGAUCGGCUCCAUUAGACAUGAUCUACGUUAUUUGAACUAUUUAUAAACUAAAUUUCAUAAUUUUUUGACUUCAUUUGCCUAGUGAAUAAGUAGGCUCAAAAUGAACGGCUAAAAAUAAAAAUCUCACAAAAAAUAGUGAUAAAAGACUCAAAUUUUAAAUCGAAAGUAUUGUUCUUAUUUUUUAUGUUAAGUAAAAUUUUCUAUUAAAGUUUCAUGUAAUUUGGAUUCUUCUACACCGUUGAUCUUUCAAACGUGCCACAUCGGCCGUUAAAAUAGUUAUUUUUGAGACUCUUUGAUCACUUAGUAAAUGAUAUCAAAAAAUUAUGAAAUUUGGUUUCUAAAUAUUCUAAUAGCGUAGAUCAUGCCUAACGGAGCCGAUCGCUGAAUCAGAUACCCCGCCAUCAAAAAUAACUUACAAACACAGAGGUCUCUGUACUUUCGAAAGUAUAGAAGAUGUACUAUAUAUAUAUAUAUNUAUAUAUAUAUAUAUAUAUAUAUAUAUAUAUAUAUAUAUAUAUAUAUAUAUAUAUAUAUAUAUAUAUAUAUAUAUAUAUAUAUAUAUAUAUAUAUAUAUGUAUGUAAGUAUGUAUGUUUAUACAAUAACUGAAUUGUGUUUCAAUUAAUUACGUUAAUCAUUUCAACCUAUAUUAUUUGCCAUUUAGUUAUACAUAUAUCAUUUUUAAUUUGUUAAUUACUAAUUAAUAAUAUUUUAUUAAGAUUUCUGUCGCACAUAUACCGAUUUAAAUUAUUUUUAUUUAAAUUAAUUUCAGUAAUAAUCAGGUUAGUAAAAUGCUAUAUAUAAAAAUUAACUAAUUAAGUUUUAUUACUAGAAUAUUUUAUAUCUGAGGCAUCGCACGUCCUUAAUUAACUAGUUCUAUAGAUAUGUGUAUUUAUACCGGUUACGGAAUUCGAUUUCUACCGUAUAUGUGUAUUUAUAUAUUAUGGAUACGUAUUGGAGUAUUCAUUCAAAUCUACAGAAAAACAUUAGUAUGUUUAAAAUUGUUCAGAAAAAUUUAAUGAUAUGCGCAGGUACGUAUAUUUUCUUCACUGCAUUAAUUUCUAUAUAUGUCAAUGUGAUACUUAACCUGUAUCUGCUAACACACUGUGUUAAAUUAAUCAAAUGUACAAUUCAUGACAUCUACUCAUUUGCAUGGAGGGCCCAAAAAUGGGUUUAUUAAUUGUUUGCUGAUACACAUUCGAUUCGUUCGCAAAAUAAUUAAUAAUUAGGUAAUUUCAAUCUUAGAAUCUAUCUAUUAUUUAUGACUAUGGAGCUAGAUUCAUAUAAAGUCUCAAAUGAAAGCAACUUGCGUGUGGCUUCUUUCUUUGUUAUCUUCUUUCUUCCUCACCUUCAUGCUUAGCAUUUUCAAAUCACCAUGGUUGUUUCCUUUUCUUAAUUAAUUUUCUCUAUUUAUGAGACAAUUCAACUCCUGACCUAACUGAGCUCUUAGUACAUUUGCUGUUGGCGACUUUUGCUGUGUUUAAUUUGAUGGGCCAUCUUGUACUCGACCCUUGCGUAUGCUCAAUUUUUUUUUUUUUUUUAAAAGAAAAUAGUGCUGCGAGCCGAUUUCUUUGACCGCUGACUCGGUCAAAACCCUCCUUCGAGAAGUGUGCGAGGAGGCGGAAUGGCUACGAAUGAUGACCCUCGAAACUUGCGCCCGACCGUUAUCGAACAAGUGAUUCGUUGAUGAGCGAUCAGAUCAACCGAGUUCAACACCACACAGCCAAUUCGGUUUGGCUGGAUCAGCCGAGUCGAGGAAUAGCGCAAUACCUUUUUGUUCUGUUGAAAAGGGCCAAAAUGUUUAUAUAUUGCAUAGAAUCGAAAAACGUUUACAAAAAGGAGUGCGCCGCAAUGGUGUACAAUAAGGAAAAAUCUAACCUACCAUCUACUUCUAGAAAAUACAGUAAAUGCGAGAAUAGAAAAGAAUUACAGAUAGACUACUCCUAAAAAAUAGUAAAAUGCAGAAAAAAUGGAAAUUGGUCUUCUUAUUCAUAGAGGAAAAGGACCCCCUCUACCAGACGUCCUCUGUUUAUAUAUUUAUAGCUCUACAUGUUGCUUAUUUAGUUAUUCUCCACCAUCGGCCACGUUCCUGUUUCUGUGGAUCACUUUCGGCUGAUUAACUGAGUCGGUUAUAACCGCAUUUCAAUUUCAGGUGCACUUUUUCAAUUCCUGUUGCACCACAUGUGGUCUAAUUGCUGGCUUUAGGGACCGUUCUUGUGGUGCACCUAGUCCAUAACGUGACACGAUUUUUGUGGCACCAACAAACAGAAAAGAAAAAGUUCGAAUUAGAAUAGAUAAUGAUGUCUUUUGAUAGUAGAGUGUGAUUUGUGUAUAUUCUCAAGUAGAGAUUUUUAAGUAGAUUCUUAAGUAGAUACUAAGAGAUUCUCUUAAAUGUAAAUUAACAGAUUCUCAAGUACCUACAUAUGGAUUGUAUGGGAAUGAAUUUAUAGUCCAUAUGAAGCAAAUAUGGUUCCCAAAAUUAGCACUACAGAAAAAUGCGCUUGUAGAGGCGGUUUUUAGUUAUUGUAGAAACCGCCACUACGAAUCGUAGAGACGGUUCUAGCGACCGCCUUUAGAUCGCCGGUGUGGACACCGCCUUUCCGGGGAAGCUUAGAGGCGGUUUUGUAGAGGCAGUUUAAACAGCCUCAACUGAUAUAUUUUUUAAAUUUUAUUUAAUAAUUUUUUAUUCAUCUAAUAGUAGUAUAGAGGCAGUUCUUAAACCGCCUCUACAGAAUAAUAAUUUUGUAGAGGCGGUUUAAACUGCCUCUACAACAUAUUAUUACGUAGAGGCGAUUUGAACCGCCUCUACGUAAAGAAUAGUAUAAAAAAAAAUUAAAAUAAUUAUUUUAACCUGCAUUUAUACAUAAAGAAUUACAACUCCUUUGACAAUUAAAUGAUCUAAAAUACUAAUACAAUUAUAUAGAGAUAACCUAACAGUUUUUUCACAUUAUCAAAAAUUUUACAAUUCAACAUAACAGAUAAUUCAAAAUACAUAAUCUCAUUUAAUAUCUAACAUUUAUAGUAGCAAUAUACUAAAUAAAAUAAAUUUUAAAUAGUUUCAAAUAUAAUCGGCAUUCGAGUUUUCAAUAAUUUGUAAAAAUUUAAGCAAUUCUUUGAUAUCCUUCAGUCGUUAGCUUGUGACUUGCAUUGGAGAGGGACGGUGUAACGACCCGCCUACUAACAAUAAUAACUCGUUGAGCCCAACCACUAGCCCAAAAUGCUUAAAUCUAGUUAUUAUUACUAGUGUCUAAGUCUCUUAUAUACCUAAUCAUAGAAUUAUUGGGGUGUGACAGACUUUCCCCGUUAAGGCCCUAACGUCCUCGUUAGUUCAAUCACAUGGGGUGUGACAGACUCCCCUCGUUUAGGCCCUGACGUCCUCGUCAGUCCAAUCACACACACAGCCCAAGAUCACCAGGCGAUGUGAGACUCAUCUCGCUAGCCUUGUCACCCAGACCCAUCACACACACAGCCUAAGAUCACCAGGCGAUAGACUCAUCUCGCUAGCCUUGUCACCCAGACCCUGGCAUAGCCGGUCACCCUUGUCAUACAGACUCCGGUAUAGCCUAUCACCUUGUCUUUUAGACCCUAGCUUAGUCGAGAUUCACCACACAUUUUCGGCUGGUGAUUGGCUCGAUACCAAAUAUAACGACCCAGCCCACUAGCAAUAAUAACUCAUUGGGCCCAACCACCGACCCAAAAUGCUUAAGCCCAGUUAUUAUUACUAGUAUCUAAGUCUCUUAUAUAUCCAAUCACAUCCUCAUUCCUAUCCGAUGUGGAAUUAUUGGGAUGUGACUAGGGGUGUAAAACGGGCCGGGCGGCACGUGGGCCGCUCGGCCCGGCACGGCCUCGGGCAGGGCUAAAGCCCGGCAUGGGUACUGUAGCACCCGUGCCGGGCCGGGCCGGCCUGAGGCUCUGGGUCGUGCCAGCCGGGCCCGGACCCCAUGGCCGAAGGCAACUGCCUUGGGCCAUGUGGUCUGAGCACCUGGGGAGGCCCCCCUCCCCAGAAGCUCUCCUCCCAGACCUUGGGAGGUGCAGUUAGGUCCAAUGGACCAAAAUAUUUUGGUCCAUUGGACCAAAAUCUAUAUUUUUAUUUUAAAAAUAAGACAAAUUUUUACUUUAGUAUAAUUAUGUUUAUAUUAUUUUAAUCAAAAUAUUAAUUUUAAAUAAAAAUAUUGGGUGUUUAUAUUUUAAUUUUUUAAAAAAAUUUAAAAAUAAAUAUUUUAUUAGGCCGGCCAGAAGCACGGCNAGGCCCGGCACGGCCCAUGCCUCCCGGGCCGAAGGGCCGUGUCUGGCCAGUGGGUAGAUAAUUUAAGCCCGGCACGGCCCGGCCCGGCCCGAAAUUAAAUCCGGGCCAGGCCGGGCCGGCCUCGAGCCCGUUUUGGCCCUAAAAAUGUGGGCCCACAUUACACCCCUAGGUGUGACAGACGGUUUGGAGAGAAUGCAUCAUUCGCAUUAUUGUUGACACCUACUUAACCUAAAAACAUAUUGAACAAAUUAAAAAUAGUUAAUUACACUAAAAUUUGAAAGUUUUCAAACAUAUUAGUCAUAACUUGCUACCAAAUUAGUAUACUUGACAGUUGAGAAAUCUAUUAAAAAAUAAGGCACUAGAAGACUGAGAUCAAACCUGGUGCUUGGUGGGUGCCAAAUGAUAUCAAGAAAAUGUUCCCAAAAAUACUAAAACUUGUGCCUGCAAAACCCUACAAAAGAAGAAUAAAAUUUCUCUACAAUGAUCUCAAAGUAGAUAGGUCUCCAAAUAAGGUAUAUCAAUAACGAUUAACUUAGUGAUAAUAAAACUAAAAUCUUAACAAAAUUUAAGAAUAGAAAAAAUUAUUAUAAGGAAGACAGUAUAACUUACCUAAUCUUCAAACAAAAGAAUAAGAUGAGUAGGUAUAUAUAUUGAACCACAAUAUGUGAGGAGUAAGUAUCAUAAGAUAGAACCUCAUAACUAUUCCGCACAAACCAUUCCUGAAAAAAAAAAAGAGUUUAGCUAAUUAAUUAAGCACAAAAGAGAUUAACUUACUAUCUCAAUAGGGAUAUCAUUAAGCUAUUCCCUAGAAAACUACUUCUACACUGCUAGGUUAUUGUUGAAACUGAGCCAAGAAUAUUGCACAAAGUCGCACAAGAUCGUAUUGAACAAAAAGACAAUAUUCUAUCCAUCUCUGUCAGACACACAAAGGAAGAAAUUUGUUCUUGUAAUUCAUGAGAGAUUACAAGAUCUUGGUGGAAAGCUCUACGUAGAAUAUUUCUAGUUUGCUCCUUCCGCAGAUCACUAUAUAAAAUAAUCAAGCUUUUAUGAAUUAUCAGUCGAGUCACAUGAAACUUGAAUGAUAUUGAGCAGAUAAGAUAAAUUAUAGUAACUAUUCUUUCUUUCAUAAAUAAUGAUGAAUAAAUUGUUAUACCCAGUAAUAACACUGAACUCUACUUUUAAGAAGUAUUCAUUUAGUCUUAGAUAUGAAAUUUAACUGCAUAGUACAUGAACCAACUAAAGAACUAAUAUAUUGAAAACAUCAGGAUCAAAUAUACUCCAAGAAACAGAAAUUUGGGAAAACUGGGAAAAAUCUCACAGGCCUUUACAUGCUUCAUUUAAGCAAUUUCCACAAAUAAUAUUCACCUAAAAUGGGCAUGCCCAAGUCCAGAUAAAGUUAUCUAGUGUAAAUUAAAUGAAUGAUUACCAAAUGUGUGUAAAACUGAUGAAUGCUGGAUUGACACUCGAAAGUAAUUAGUUAUCAACUUGAGCUGUACGGCCCAAUUUGUGAAAGCUUUGUUCACAAUUAGUUAUAUCUCCAUAGUAGAAUCUCUGAAAUUAGAAUUAAAGAGGAUUAAAGAAAGAAUGCAAACUAGAAUUUAUUUAUUGACAAUGUAAACACGACUCUGAUCUCACAUACACAAUGUAAGGGUGGCUUUAUCAUUUAAAAUAGACAACAAGAAAUAUCUACAAACAAACGAAACUGGUCUAUAUUUAAGAUGACCCCAAUCUAGCAUUAAGAUUAAAGACCAAUUUGAUUUGAUUCGAAGUUGAUUUGAGUUGCUUGCAAUACCAGGACAAGCUACUGCAAUAGCGAAGUUGAAUGAAAACUACCUUUUUCAUUAUUUUUGGAAAGUGCUGAGGGCGCUACCAAUUUACCUGAAUGAAGUCUAGAGUCGCCGAAUCAGUUAUAAACUAGCUUGAAGUAGUAUAAUCGCCAAAAUCAACAUAACCUAAAAUAUUAAAAUUAAGGACGGAUCAAUUGCACUAUGCAGCAUAGCAUUAUAAAAUAGGACUUAGAAUGAUCAGUAGUUAAACAAGAUGCAUCGUCAUAUCAUGCUAGAGAAAAUACAGAGCUUACAACGUUGUUGAGGAUAUGAAAAACAAGUGCAGGAUAGAGACGUUCAUUUUAAAAUUCUCAUCCACUUAAUAGAAAAAUAUGAUAGUUUCUACCAUUAGUUAAAUAGUAUACAUGCAUUCUAUGUAUGGUCUAUUAUGCUUCAAUAAGACUUGCAGAUCUCAAUACUAUUGUUCUUUCACUAAGUCAAAUAGAAUGUCACCUUCUACAAAAGUGCUAUAUACCAUUUCAGGCAAUUAUAAUAGUGAAUCAAAAAUAUAUGAUGCUUGUUUUGAGAAACUUUUGAAUAGUAAAGAGCAGUUAAGCCCAACGAAUAACAGAAAAAACUUAGACUGCACCAAAAAUUUUGUUUUAAAUAUUUUAAUACUAUACUACAAAUUAAUAUGAUAUACUGCUUAGGAUUGGCACUUUACAUCUUUGCAUAAUCGGACAACCAAAUCAGAAUCCUGCUUAUGAAAACAGAAAUGAACAAUAGUCUCCAGGUUAAAGGAAUGCCCUUCAAAUACAUAAAUAUAGACCAAUUUUAACUUUUUAAUUAAAAAAAAUACUCAUAGAAUAACUAUCAAAACAAUAAAAUUUGAUUAAAUUUUUAAAUAAAAUUAUUAAAAUAAUUUAACUCUAUAAAUAUUGAAAGUUAAGAAAAUAUUAUGUCAUGCUCCGAGAUCCCUUUUUAAGUAAGAAGAAAGGGAAAGUGUUUUUUUUUUUUUUUUUUUUUUUUUUUUGAAAAAUCUUGACCCUAGAAGAUGCCAGACCGGACACAAAUUAGGAAACUCACUGUUCAUACGGACAGAACCUCACCUAUAUUUGCACGGCUUCGCAAAAGUACAAGAUACAGCCACAAACAUGCACAAAUCAUGUAUACAUUCACCACAUCACAAUAUCACGAUUUAUAUUCAAUCAAUCACAAGGUUACAAUGUUUCAUUCAUAAAUCCAUAUAUGUUAUUUAAAACUUUUCCUAUCCGAAAACUCAUUUUAAAAUACUAGAAUCACAAAAAGCGAAAAAUUCUUUCUAAAACCGUUUUCCACACGGACUCCUUUUCUUUUAAAAGGGGCUACCACCACGAGGGGUAGAAACCCCAGCACAGGGUGCAUGCCUGUGCCAGUUGGUUCGGGCCCAACACCCGCGUAGGGACGCGCGGGCCCACGCAGGCCAGGUCGCACUCAGCGCAGGACGCGGGCUUGCACGAUCCGGGCUGAGCCCAGCGCCAGCGUAGGUCCACGUAGGCCUGCGUGGGCCGGGUUGCCCAGCACAGGUGCGUGCCUGCGCUAGCCAGGCCCGCGUGAGGUGCACAGUGGGCCGGGCCAGCCCCUAUGGCCAUUCGCAGCGCGGAAGGCUAGGCAGGGCCGACAUGCCUGCCCGCAAUCUGCGAGUCGCGGCCGCGCACGCUGGGAGGGAUGGGCCAGUCCCAUACGUCCACCUGCGGCGCGAGGGUCAGCCCGCGCAAGCACGGAGGGCUGGGCAGGCCCCAUGUGCCCACUGGCGGCGCGCGGGUCCACCGGCAAGCACGCGGCGGGCUAGACGGGCUGGCGGACCAGCCAGCGUUGCGCGUCCGCAACCCACACGGGCGGCCGGCCAGGCACCGCCUUGACGCCCUCCCACAACGCGCUUCAGCCCCACAACAGGUUUCCUUCUUUUUUUUUUUUUUAAUACUUGAUGCACAAAGAAAAAAAAAAAUAAAAAACUAAUUUUUUUUGUACACGAAGUAAAAGGCAAAAAAAAAAAGAAGAAAAACUAAUGUAAAAAAAACUUUUUGCAUGUCUCAUGAUCAAUUUAAAAGAAAACUAAAACUGAUUUAACUUUUCCUUUUUUUUAAAUCGAUUUUACUUAGAAAUCGAAUAAAAAAGUUUGCAGAAUCAAUCUACAUAAAAAUUUGAUCAACGAAGCAUGCGAUAAAAAACAAGCAUCACAGGCAUCAUUAUAAAGCGAAAACAAGCAAACGGCUAUAAUACCAAUUGUUGGAAUUGGAGGUUAGCGGAAAUUUACAAACUAGAUAGCCAACGUAUCCGGGCACUGAUAUCUCGCUUUCUCCCAAGCCUACGCCUUGCGUCACAGAUCAGAUGCAAGUCGAAUGCGACGGGUGCUAAUAAAAAAAGGCUACCAAAGCUCUCUUCCCUAGAGAAGAAGGGAGAAAAUUCUAUUUUCUAGUUCUGUCACGUACUCUCAAAUUCGAGAUAAAGGGAUCCUAUUUAUAGAUUAUCUGAAUCCUUUAAAAUUCUCAUAAAAAUUAGAAUAUCUUGGAUUAAAAUAUCUAUUAAGACAUAAUAGAUAUCCAUUAGCAGAUAUGUUUAUUAACUAAUAAGAAAUAUAUAUAAUUUAUUCUUAUCCUUAAGAUUUUAGGAUAAAUCUCAAUCCACAUCUUAUAUGGAUCGAGUUAAAAAUGAACGGACCAAUAUGGACAUACCACAUGGCAACAGUUGAAAAGAUGAAGCAACUAUGCUUUGAAUUUAGAGACCUCAAAUACCAAUUAUCAAACUCUUUGCCACUUGCACUAAGAACAAUUGAUGAAAAGAGACCGUUCUCUUUUUUUUUUUUUUUGAAAAAAGAUAGCAUGUUAUAUGCUUCAUUCAUAAGAGACCAUUCUAGAUCCUUGGAUUAAAAGAUAUAGAAUAUACAUUUUUUUUUGAGAUAUAUAGAUAGUAGGGCUCGUUGAAAUUUAACUCAAAAGAAAAAAAACAAAAAAGUUUUUUCAAGUACCAAGCACCAUUAUUGAAGAUUGCGAUGGUUCAUAAAAUUGCUAAGCUUGCAUGGCAAGUCUGGAGCUUGUCUUAUCUUGAGUACAAUUAUGAAGACCUUUUAUUGUUGGUUGGUUUUUUUCUUUUUUCUUUUUUUUAAUAUAAAUCUAUUUUUCCUCUAAGAUUUGGGGGACCAAGGGGUGACACGUGUCCCCUCAAACCCCCUUUACUCUCUCUCCCUAUAUAUAUAUAUAUAUAUAUAUAUAUAUAUAUAUAUUCUAAUAUAAAUUAUAUAUUAUUCUUGUGGCUAUGCAGAAAGUAGGCCUUUACGUAUCAUCAUGCGUCCCCUCCAACCCUUUACUCUCCUUCUCCCCUAUACUAUAUAAUAUAAUAUAAUAUCAUGUAGGCUCCUGUAUGCUAUUAGGAUUACGGAGGCUUUCGUACAUCUAAGCGUUUUCAUGAUCAGAGCUUCGAAUUGACGCAUCGGGACCGUUAGAACUUGGUCCUAACUAUUUGAACUAUCUAAAAAAUAUUUGUAAAUUUUUUUUUGUAUCAUUUCCUAGUAAUAGAAAGGUUCAAAAAUUUAAUAUUUUAAUGGUUAAUGUAUAACGUUGCAAGUUUAACGCUAUAGAUUAUUCAAAUCAGAUGAAAUCUUGAUAGAAAUUCUUUAUACUAUUUACAGUAAAACAAUAUUUUGAUCGAAAAUUUAAUGUAUAUCACCACUUUUUGUCAGAUUUUAUUUUCAUAGCCGUUGAUUUUGAACCCUUUUGAUCGCAGGUAAAUGAUAUCGAAAAAUCGCAAAAAUUUAUUUCCUAAUACUUCAAAUACGCUAGAUCAAGUCUACACGGAGCCCAUCGCGAUUCAAAGCUCAUCAUCGAAAACGGCUAGAAGCAUGAGACCUCCGCCUAAUAGCACAACAAAGCACUAACUAUAUAUAUAUAUAUAUAAUAUAUAUAUAUAUAUAUAUAUAUAUAUAUAAUAUAUAGAAAGUCCUUCACUAUAUCUCUAUGAGUACGAUCACCUUUGUACUCAUAAGUUAUUUUCGAUGAUAGAGCUUCCGAUUCGACGACCAUACUAUUAAAUAUUAUCUAGAGUAUUUAAAACUUCCUAAAAAUCAAAAAUUUUAUAAUUUUCGAUAUCAUUUACCUACAAUCAAAAGCUCACAAAAUGACAAUUUUUAACGGCCGGUAUGAGAUAUUUGCUAUUUUAACGGAGAAAGAAUCAGAAUUGUUGAAUUUUUGAUAAAAAUUCUUAUCACUACCUAAAUAAAAUCAAUAACUCCGAUCUUAAAUUGAAGGAUCCGAUCAUCCAUUUUUAGGAGUUUGUCUGAUUUUAACCGUUCAUUUUAUAACCCGCUUAUGACUUUAUAAUGAUUCGAAAAUUAUGAAAUUUAUUUUCUAGAAUUUAAAAUACUCUAAAUCAUGUUUAACGGUGGACGUCGAUUCGAAAACCCCAAUAUUGAAAACAACUUAUGAGUUACAAGGGCUCUAUACUCAUAAAGAAGUAUCCCUACCAAUAUAUAUAUAUAUAUAUAUAUAUAUAAGAGAGAGAGAGAAAGAGAGAGAGAGAAGAUAGAGAGAGAGGAGUCCGGCUGCUUCUGCAUCGAUAGCACCAAACACUUGGUCAUUAAGUUUUCUACCGUUAGAUUAAUCCCUUAAGGAAACAACCACUCACUCAACCCUAGGGGCUACAUCAUCCUAACCGCAUAUUUCUCAUUCAAGGCCUAAAAAUCAAUACAACCAAUAACUUGGUACUAUUGAUAGUAUUCCAGCCUAGUUAUAUAAUAUAUAUAUAUAUAUAAUAAAAUAUAUAUAUAUAUUAGUAUAAUAUGUAUAUAUAAUAAAUAGUUAUAUAAUAUAAAUAUAUAUUGUAUAAUAUAUAUAUAUAUAUGUAUAAUACAUGUAUAUGUAUAUAGUAAUAAUACAUGUAUAUGUAUAUAUAUAUGUAUAUAUACAUAUAUAUAUUACAUAUAUAUAUACAUAUCAUAUAAAUAUAUACAAUAUAUUUAUAUAUAUAUAUAAUUAUAUGUAUAUAUACAUAUAUAACAUAUGUAUAUGUAAUAUAUACAUAUAUAUAUACAUAUGUAUAUGUAUUAUAUACCAUAUAUAAUACAUAUAUGUAUAUAACAUAUAUAUAUAUAUAUGUGCGUCUGGUAUGCUGCUUCUGAAUCACGGAGCGUUCCGGCUUCCAAUUGUUUCGAUGUUCGGACUUUCAAAUCGACAUCGGCUCCGUAAGACUUGAUCUAGAGUAUUGAAGUACUCAGAAAUAAAUUUUGCGAUUUUUCGAUAUCAUUUGCUAGUGAUCGAAGUGGCUCAAAAUCAACGGCUGAAAUAAAAAUCUUAAAAAUAUGAUUAUAUGAACAUUAAAAUUUUAGACCAAAUUAUUGAUCUUGUUUUAUAAUGUAUAAAAAUUUUCAUAUCAAAUUUCAUAUAUUUGGAUAUUUCUAUAUCGUUAAACUGCACAACAGCUCACCAGGCCAUUAAAACUAUUGAUUUUGAGCCCCUUCGAUCACAGCAAAAUAAUCGAAAAUACAAAAAUUUAUUUCUGUACUUCAAAUACUUUAGAUCAAAUCGAACGGAGCCGAUCGUGAUAUCGAAAGACCCGAACAUAAAACAACGUAGAAGCAGGAGGGCUCACAUGCUUCCAAAAGCAUAACAGCCUAAUCUCUCUCUCUUCUCUCCCUUCUUACUCCUCUACUCUACUCAUACAUUUCUCUCUCUCUCUAUUUAUAUAUAAUAUAUAAAUAUAUAUAUAUAUAUACUAUAUAUAAUGUAUAUAUAUAUAUAUAUAUUAAUUAGAUCACCGCUACUAUACAUCUAUAGUACCGGGAGCUCCCUACAUAGUGUUGUUUUUCGAUCUUCGGCAUCUCAAACAAGAUCCACACGUUAAAACUGAUCUAGGGUAUUUAAGUUUUAGAAAUAAAAUUUAUAUUUUUUCCGACAUAGUUACUUUAUGAUCAAAAACAUUUCAAAAUUGUCAAAUUUCAAUGGCUAUUAUGACGAGUUUGGAUUAACGGUGUAGAAGAAUCUAAAUUUCUUCAAAUUUGAUAGAAAAUCUUAAACUAUAUAGAUUAGGUUAACAUUCUUGAUCUUGAUUUAAAAGUCCUAUGCUCAAUUUUAAAGAUAUUCAAUUCCCACCGUCCAUUUUGACAUAAUUUAUUUACUAAGUAAAUGAUAUCGAAAAGACUAAAAUUUUAUCCUAAGAAUUUCAUAUACCCUAGAUCAUAUUUAACGGUAUGGAUCGUUGAUUUGAAGCCGUAAGAUUGAAAACAACACUAUAGUUACGGGAGCUCCCGUACUAUAGAUAAUAUAGUAGCCUAAUUAUAUAUAUAUAAUAUAUAUAUAUAUAUAUAUAUAAUAUAAUAUAUAUAUAUAUAUAUAUAUAUAUAUAUAUAUUUUGAUAUCAAAAUUUAAAAUUUUGAUCCUUUCAACUUUUCAAAUUAUAAUUCAUUUUAUAUUUUAUAUUUUAAAAUUUAAAUUUAAUUUAUAAUAUUUAUUUUUAAAUUUUAAAUUUUAAAAUUUAAAAUUUAAAAUCUCUAAACUCUAUGAAAUUAAUUAAUUAAUUUUAUUAAUAAUUCAUAAUAUAUAAUAUAGUUAAUUAAUUUUAUUAAUAAAAUGCAUAAUAAACUGCGUAAUAAAAUCUAACAUAAUAGAUGCAAUUUAAAUCACAUAAAGUAUCGCUGUAUAAAAAAAAAUAGAGCAUUUAAAUUUUAGGACUAAAAUUUUAAAAAUAUAUUGUAUUUCUGUGUAUAUAUAAUUAAUGUUAUUAAAUAAUUUCUUUUACAAUUUUAUUUUUCUUCUAUUUAUUGAUUUUUUAAAAUUAUUUUGAUAGAUUUAUCUUAAAUUAUUUUUAUAUAAAUAUUUAUAAAAUAAAUUGUUGUAUAAAUUUAUUUUGCGCAUAUACCGAUUUUAAUGACUUUUAUUUAAAUAAAUUUAACGAUUAAAUUAUUUUUUUAUAACUUUAUUUAAUUAAUAAUUAGGCUUAUAAAACUAUAUAAACAUAUUAAAAAAAAUAAAAUUUAUUACAAAAAUAUUUAUAUAUCCGCAGCAUCGCGCGGGUAUUUCACUAGUUAAAUAUUAUAGUGUGGAUCUAGAUGAAAUAUAUAAUGUCCUCACCUCUAUAAAUCCAUCACAUUUGAUUGGUAAUUAAGAAAAAAAAUUAUUUCUCCUUCUUCAAGUUAAUUCUAACAAGUGAAAACUAAAGUAUAAGAUUUACAAGUAUAACAUGUAUCCGUAGCAUUUCCGAAAUUAAAAAGUGAUUCGUAAAUCAAUGGAGUUGUAUCUUUAGCAAUCUUGACAACUCAUAAGCUAAUGGCUUUUAGACUUUAACAAACUUUUUUUUUGGGUUUAGGGUUUAGGAUUUAGGGUUUAGACUUUAACAAACCUUUUUUUUUUUUUUUUUUUUUUUUUUUUUGUUACCGACCGUCUCUAGAGCAAGUGGCAAAAAGCUUGAUGGUUGGUGCCCGAGGUUUUAAGUUCGAAUCUUAGUUAAUUCAUAUUUCCAGCUAAGUUUAUUUGUAAAUGAAAAAAAAACUGUAAAACUAAUGUAGUACAUUUGGAUUUUAGAUGAACAAAAUUGUUGGAUUACAACCCAAAAUUCACGAUAAACUUAGCAUUGCCCGUAAAAGUUGUAAUCCUUAUAUCCUUAUAUCCCUCUUCCAAGAAUUGUGAGGAUUUACUCAUUCUUUGUAAAUUUUUAUUAAUUAAAAAAAAGAGUAAUAGAAAAAACUGGUAAGAAAAAACUAUUAGGUUAGAAUUUGUUGUUCCUAAAAAGGAUUGUAGAGCUCACAUUUCAACAUAAAAUAUACUACAUUUCAACAUUUCAACAUAAAAUACCGACCGUCCCUAGCGCAAGUGGCAAAAGAGCUUGGUGGUUAGUAUUCGAGAACCAAGUUCGAAUUCUAGUUGAUUCAUAUUUCCAGCCAAAUUUUUUCUAAAUGAAAUAUAAAAUUUAUUAUUGUACGUUGUUUUACUUUUAAUAUUUUUUGUUUCUGAACACAAAUUAAAUAUUAUAUAGUGUAGAUAAAGAUGAUAAAAUGUUCUCACCUCUAUAAAUUCAUCAUAUUUGAUUGGUAAUUAAGAAAAGAAAAAAUUCCUUAUUCAAGUUACUUUCUAACAAGUGAAAACUAAAUUAUAAGAUUUACAAAUAUAACAUAGAUGUACGGUAGCAUUGCCGAAAUUAAUAAGUGAUUGGUAAAUCUUAGAAUCUAGUUGUAUCUUUAGCAAUCUUAACAACUCAUAAUCUAAUGGCUUUUAGACUUUAACAAACUUUUUCCUUUUUAGUAAAAAAGUUUGCUAAACUAGAUGAACAAUUGGAUUUUAAUUUUAAUGAACAAAAUUGUUGGAUUACAACCCAAAAUUCACGAUAAACUUAGCAUUGCCCGUAAAAAAUGCCAAGUUUACAACCAAAAGAGUUGUAAUCCUUAUAUCCCUGGUCUAAGAAUUUUGAGGAUUUAAUCAUUCUUUAUAAAUUUCUGUUAAUUUUAAAAAAGUAAUAAAAUAAAAAUUAGUAAAACUAGUAAGAAAAAGUUAUUAGAUUAGAAUUUUUUGUUGGAUUAUAAUCUAAAACAGAUUUAGACCUAACAUUUCAACAUAAAAUAUACUUGUAGGUAAUAGUUUCAAAAUUAGAUGCAGCAUGGCCGCUGAGCUGAUCCAUUACAAUAAGAGACUGUUUGGUUGCAUAUAGUUAUAAUUAUAUUGCAGUUGUAAUUACAUAUAAACUCAAAUUGGGUAUUUGGUUUUAUGUAUUUGAAUUUAGUUGCUGCAGUUGGCAUUGCAUUAGGAGAUCCAACUAAAUUGACAGUAUUUGGAAAGAGUAAUUUUAAAGAAAAUAUAUAAGUUUUCCCUCCGUAAAGACUUUUUAAGCAGAAUAUAUUUAUUUUUUAUAUUAAAAAUAAUUUCACCAUCUUAUACAUAAAAUUUAAAAAUUUUUAAAAUACAUUUCUUAAUUACCUAUAAUUUAAUAAAAUUAUUUAUAAUUACUAAAUAUUUUUAUUAUUUAUAAUAAUAAAAUACAUGAAUAAACAACCCUCAUAAAGACCUCUCCUUAUUUUGGGAGGGUUGUGGGAUCACAUAUAUUUUAUUCGGGGUUAAUUGCAUCGUUGGUCUCCAACCUUUGUACUAUUUUCUACUUUGGUUUCUAACAUUUUUUUAUUUUACAAUCUCAACCUCUUAAUUUUGUUGUGAUUACGUCCCAACCGUUAAAAGAUCUGUUAAAAUUAACGAAAUCUUCUUGUCAGCGCCUACUUGUAUUUCUUUACGUGUAAAUUUUGGUCUUUAAACUUUACAUAUUUUUCACUUUAGUCUUCACAAAUUAAAAUUCAAAAUUUUAAAUUUAAAUUCAAAAUUAAUAAUAAAAUUAAAAUUUUAAACUAAACGAAAAUUAGAAUUUUGAAUUUGAAUUAAAUUUUGAAUUUGAAGUAAAAUUAAAAUUUUAAAUUGAAUCUAACUUUUGAUUUCAAACUUAAAUUUUUUAUUUUGAUUUUGAUAUUUGAAUUUGCAUUUAAAAUUUAAAUUUAAAUUUAUAUUAGAUAUGUAAAUUUAAAUUUAAAUUUAAAUUUAAACAAAUUAGAGCAACUAGCUUUGAGCUACCAAAUUGAUUUAUUAUUUUUUAAAUCAUCACGGAUGCUUUACUUACAAGAGGAGAUACAAGAUAAUGGGAAUUAGCGAGCUUCAUUUAAUAAAUAUUUUCUUCUACUUUCUAUAAGAAUUAAGAUAAGGCCUUUAGCAAUUUAAUUAUGUUUUGAAUAGUAAAGUAUUCGUUCAUAAAAAUAAUAUUCAAAUAUGAAUUAAAAUUUUUUAAAUUGUGACUAUUGACUUAUGGUGCUUGAUUGAUAAUUUGAAUAGCUAGUUUUUUUAAAAAAAAUUUAUAAAUUGGUGUCUUGAAAUGAAAGAAUUUAAUUUUUGGAUUUUUUUUUUCUAUAACGAUUUUUUGAUAUUAGUUUUUCUUUCUCCGGUUAAAUAAUAUUUUUAAUUCAUGUGAGUGAUAUUUUGCUAUUUCAUAUACUAUUAAUGUAGCACAUUGGACCUUUACAAAUUGCGAGGUUCGAGUGUUUGGACUGUGUCCUGAGCUUUUCUAGACUUUCUGGUGGGUCGUAGACAGUGUUCCGACCUAUGGUUCGAAUCCCGAGAAGUGAGGUUUAAAACUUAGCGGCGAAACCCGAAAAAAAUCGGAUUUUUGGUCAGUUCUCGGGUAGCCUUCAUCAGGCUGUGUACCGGUACAGGGUUGAUGGCUGUACCGGUACAUGGUUGAUGGUUGUACCGGUACGGGAUGGUGUACCGGUACACAGGCAGUUUUCCAGCAAACCGGAGGCUCGGGUUUUGGCAUUUUCGUGGGAUGUGUACCGGUACGUGAGCCCGUGUACCAAUACGCAGUGACAGAUUUUGAAUGGUCAAAACUACAGGGGUAUUUUUGAAUUGUGGCUCCUCUAUAUUAGCACCCACGCCCCUAGGGCUUCCUCCUGAGCUUGCCACAGCAGAGAGAAGGUAAGGGGGGCUCCUCCAUGCUUCUCUUUGGUUUUGAUCCCAUCUUUAGCUUGGGAUUUAAGGUUUAAUCUCUCUUUUUCUCUCCUUGUGCAUUUCCACCAUUGUUGAGGCUUGGAGUUCGGGUUUGGAGCUUGGUGGAGGGAAGAUCCUAGAAGUUUGAGGACUUUUGGUUUAGAUUGAAGCUUCUAAGAGGUAAGUGGCAAUAUCCUUUUCUCUAGUUUUGGAUUUUGGAGUUUUCUUUGUAAUGAAACCCUAGAUUGGAAACUUAGGGUUGUUUUUGGGCAUUUUGAUUCUAGUGCUUUUGUGACACCCCAAUAGUCCCACAUCGGAUGGGAAUGGGGUUGUCAUUGGGUUUAUAAGAGAUUUAGACACUACUAAUAAUAACUGGGCUUAAGCAUUUUGGGCCUGUGGUUGGGGCCCAACGAGUUAUUGUUGCUAGUGGGCUGGGUUGUUACAUUUGGUAUCAGAGCCGGUUCACCAGCUGGUCAUGUGUGGCGAGUCUCGGCUGAGCCAGGGUCUGGAUGACGGGCUAGCGAGAUGAGUCUCACAUCGCCUGGUGAUCUUGGGCUGUGUGUAUGAUUGGACUGACGAGGACGUCAGGGCCUUAACGGGGGGAGUCUGUGACACCCCAAUAGUCCUACAUCGGAUGGGAAUGGGGUUGUCAUUGGGUUUAUAAGAGACUUAGACACUAGUAAUAAUAACUGGGCUUAAGCAUUUUGGGCCGGAUAUUGGGCCCAACGAGUUAUUAUUUCUAGUGGGCUAGGUCGUUACAGCUUUUGAGGCUGGAUUGGUUGGAUUAGAAUCUUCCUCUAGGCUAAAUUGGAAGGGUUCUAGCUCCCUUUUGAAGCUUUAGAAGAGAUUUCUCUCUUGAGGUGAGUUUUGAUCGUUUUUUGCUUUAUGGUUAAUGAAUGAGCUUUUCGCUCUUCGUUUCGUUUAGGUAACUCCAUUUUUGUUGUUCCUAGGGUGCUAAGAAGCUAGUGGAUACCUCCGUUCGGCGAAACAAAGGUUUCGAUUUUGGUGGGUUUGAUCUAGCCUACAAUAUGAGAAAUGCUCAUAUUUGGUGAUUUAAGUUUUGUAAAUUGAAAAAGUAUGCAUAUUCAUACCAAAUGUAUUUAUUAUGAUUUUUAGAAUGCUUAAAAUGCCUAUGCUACCUAUGAUGAAAUUUUGGACCUCUAUGUAGUAGAGAGUUGCAUAUGAAGCUUAUGCGGGAUUUUUAGCAUUCUUAUAUUGGACCAUGUUCCUUAUAGUGUAAAUGAGAUUUGAUUCAUGCAUUUAAACCUAAAUUUACUUGAGACAUGAAAGAUAACUAAUAUGUCAUAAAGAAGCAUCAAACUAGAAUGUUAUGUGAAUUAGAGAGCUAAUGUCAUCAAGCGGCAUUGAGCUCGGGACAUGGGUGAACCUAAUGGAUAGGGCCAUUGAGGAUUUGGUAUAUGCUCAAAUAUUGAAAUGUCUAAGUGUCAUCAAGGGGCACUAGACUUCAUGAACGUUGGAACUUCACUUGUGACUUAGAACUAGACCUUCGAGAUGCUAGUGACUAUACCAUGUUAGAGACAUGAUGAUUGGAUACUUCAGACGUUGACUAUACUUGCUUGCCAUGUGUGCUCAUUCGCACAUGCUUGUGAGGGUCGCUCUCUACAAGCCGGCACUCCGGAGUUAGCCUACGCGACUUAUGUUCACUUGUGCGGUAUCGAGAGACCUACGGGGUCGGGAGGGAUAGACUCAUUCCUAGAGUGGGAAUGCUGGGGCUACCACCGACACUUAGGCGGCACUAGCUGAACUACAAUAAGUGAAUCCUAAAACAUGAUUGAACAAUGACAUUGAACCGAGAAUGAAUAAUCACUACUAGAUAGGCUUAGUAGUUGGAUUACUUUGACAUGCUCAUGACAUAACAUUGGGAUAUAUAGUAUACUUGCCUGUUUCACUCAUUACAUCAUAGUAUACUUGGUUACUUGAUAGAGCUUAUUCUUUAUGUGUGACAUAUUGGACCGUAGCACUUACUUGUUGCCAUUGGAAGUACUUGCUUAUGAUAGAGUAGAUGUACAUCAUACUUACAUCAUGUUUACUUAAGAUAUAGUAGUUUAGCAUUCCAUUAUGCUUUCCAAUUGCGGUUAUCUUUAUUAUUAUUGCUUAUAGUACUUAUCCUUUUCUUUUGGAGCCUAGUGGUGCAUAGAGCUGAGGUCCGUAAUUGCCCACUGGGAACUAUAAAUUAUAGUUCUCACGCCUUCUUUUUCUCGAUAUUUUUAAGAGCCUUCCACGCAGGGGGAGGCCAAGGAUCGCGGAAAGGGUAUCGCCUCGGGCUAGUGUUCUUCGCCGAGGGAUCGUUCGAUAGGUGGCCCACCUCUCUUUGUUCCUUUUUGUGAAGAGGUUGGGAGUUGUACCAGUGUACUAGAGACCACCUGUUUUGUACUUUGAGACAGACAUUGUACUACUUUAUGGUUUACUUUUAUUGUUUAGUUGUAUCGCUUUUCUUUUGUUAUAGAAAGUAGAAUCAUACUGCUCUGAUAUCAUUAGUUGUUGCUCUUUCCUUUCGGCUAUAUUUUUUACUUUACUUCCACUUUUAUUGUAGACGCCUUAUAUGUGCAGACAUAUGGCGGGUCUGGGCCCGCUACCGGGAGGGCCUCCGCCGGUCCCGGGGCGUGACAAUUAAUCUUAAUCUUCAGCUAGAAAAUUUAUCUUUUCCUAAUAUAUAAUAUUAGAAUAUUUAUUUAGUCGUUGAAUCUUUUUAGAAUAUAAAAAAUAACUAUUUUGAUUUUCAAAUACCUUUUGAUUAGUCUUAUUUUUUAUGCUUUUGAUAAUUAUUUAUUAAUUUCUUCACUAAUCAAUUAUUUUUUUAGUUGUAUCUGUAGUAAUAAAAAUUAAGCUUCUGAUAAUUAUUUAUUAAUUUCUUCACUAAUCAAUUAUUUUAUUAGUUGUAUCUGUAGUAAUAAAAGUUAACGAGAGCUUCUCUUUAUCGUCAAUGAAGACAAUAAAGACGCUGCCGCCGAGGCUACCGAAAAUAGUGCUUGCACUCUAAUUAAUUUUUAAUAUUUUUUAUUUUUAAAUUCUACGCAAAAAAUUAUUACUCAUUUUUUUUUAAUAUUAUAAUGAGUUUUUCUUAUUUUAAGCUGAUUUAUUUAUUUUAAUUAUUUGGUUUAAGUAAUUUUUGAAAGAAAUAUAUUUUAAUUUUAUUUUUUUAAUAUUUAUUUAAUUAUUUAAUACUGAAAUAAAUACUAUUUAAAAAUAUUAAUACAUAUAAUUAUUGAUAACGAUAUAUGAAUAAAUUUGUGUUUUUUUAUAAAUUUUAAUAUUAAAACUUGCAUUAGUCAAUACGCCCUAACAACUAAUUAUAAUAAGGGAAAACUUAAAAAAAAAAAACCAUGUGGUUUUGUACUUUUUUAUUUUAGUACCCUGUGAUUUAAAGUGUAUCAAGUUAGUACUAUGUGGUUUCGCACUUUCUCACUUUAGUACCCUGUGGUUUCGCACUUUCUUACUUUAUUUUUGUAUCAAGUUAUACCCUGUGAUUUUUAAACCACAGAGUACUAAAAUAAAAAAGUGCGAAACCACAGAGUACUGAAGUGAGAAAGUGCGAAACCACAGGAUACUAACUUGAUACACUUUAAACCACAGAGUACUAACUUGAUACAAAUAUAAAAUGAGAAAGUGCGAAAUCACAGGGUACUAAAGUCAGAAAGUGCGAAACCAUAGAAUGCUAACUUGAUACACUUUAAACCACAAGGUACUAAAGUGAUAAAGUGCAAACCACACUUUAAUCAAUCGGGUAUUAAAGUGAGAAACAAUGAAACUACGGGGGUAUUUGAAGUUUUCCCUUAUAAUAAAAUCAAUCUCCCGCGUUGUGCGGAUCGCUUUACCUAGUAAUUAACUAUUGUACUUUUAGAUCCAUAUCUUCACGUACCCUGCAUAUAUUGUUAUUAUAUCAAAAGAAACAGCUUGGACCUAAAAGCUCCAGGAUCUCGAGUUUCGGAGCACCGCGCUAACUAGUUAACCCUUUCACGAUGGCGGCGAUCACCGUAGACAUCGUUUCCCGGGAGACCGUGAAGCCCUCCACUCCAACUCCUCCCCAACUUCGUUCCUACAAGCUCAGCUGGAUCGAUCAGAACCACCCCCUCUACCACCUCCCCGUCGUCUUCUUCUACUCCGCCACCCCCUCCGCCGCCGCCGCCGACGUCGGAAUUUUGAAAUCUUCGUUGUCGACGGUGCUAGCCAGUUUCUAUCCCCUCGCCGGCAGGCUGAGCGGCAACUCCCACGUCGACUGCGGGGAUCAGGGGGUCGACUUCUUUGAAGCCCGCGCGGCCGACGCCGACCUCUCGGAGAUUCUGAGCUCCGACGAAUCCGAUCUCAACGAGCUGAAGAAGUUCCUCCCUUGCAGCAAAGGCGAGGCCUCUUGCUGUGACUCUGAGCCGACAGUCAUUCUCUCAGUGCAGGCCACCGUAUUCCGAUGCGGCGGCAUUGCCGUCGGCGCCUGCGUCUCGCACAAGAUCGCAGACGGCCGAUCGCUAUUUUUGUUCCUGCAAGCGUGGGCCGCAGCGGUGAGAGGUUCUUUCUCAUCCGAGAAUGCCCCGUCGUUCGACAGCGCUGCUGUUUUUCCGCCGAAUGAGAAUGCAGUUCCAUACGAGGCCGAACAACCGCCGCAGGUCCAGAAGCGGUUCGUGCUCGACGGGCCAAAAAUCAUGGCGCUGAGGGAGAAGAUGGCAUCUUCGGCAACGCGAUUCCAGGCGGUGAUGGCGCUCGUCUGGCGAUGCGCUGUGCGGGGGCGGCCCCACGCCCGCGCGGCGCUGGCGGCGGUGGCGGUGGACACACGGUCGCGGAUGGAGCCGCAGUCUCCGAACGGCUCCUUCGGCAACCGCUGCGUAGCAGCUGUCGUCGGCAUUCCGGUAGAUGAGGUAAAGAAUGUUAAAUCCGACGUGAAUGAAAACACAAAAUACGCGCACGAGGAGGAGAUGGGAGCGGCGGUGAAGGGAGUGGACGCCGAAUACUUGAGGCGGCUGCAGGGCGAGGACGGGUGGCUGAGGCAGUUUGAGAUGGGCUUGGAGGUGGUGCGGAAGUGCGGCGGGUUGACGGAGGCGGGGUUCGAUAUGAACAUCUUCAGCAGCUGGCUGCGGCUGCCGGUGUACGAGGUGGACUUCGGGUGGGGGCCGGCGGCGUGGGCCUGCACGACGCAGGAGCGGCCCAGCGCCAUGGCGGUGCUGCCCAGGCCGCCUGCCGCGGGGGACCCGCAGGGGAUGGAGAUCUGGGCAUCGCUGGAGAAGGACGAGAUGGCUGAACUCAAGCGGGAGCUCGACCAGUUGGUCCCCCUGAACCCGGUCCACCACGUCACCCAGUCGUGAACCAGGAUCUAUGUUGCUCAGUUCGCCUCCGUCGUCAAGAAAAUGGCUGUGUCUUCUAUGGAUUCCGCGCUCGUGAGUUAUUAAGCAAUGGUCUUAAUUAGUGCUAUUUAAUUGAUGUUAAUUUAAGAUGUACCGGCAUGAUCAUGAUUAGUUAAUUUGCGAAUUAUUCGUAAAUUAUUCGUGAAUUUUUUAAGAAACGAAUUAAACAGCCGUAUGCGUAUUUUUUCAAAAAAUUCAAAAAAAAAAAUGUUUUUUUCGUCAAAAAUAAUUAUUCACGAUUUGCAAACGAUUCGCCUAAAAAAACGGCGCUCACGGUUGCGGACUCGCUGGUCGCGUAGUCGCUACUCUCGUCGCCAAACUCGUCCGUGUCGUCCUCCUCCUCCUCCGUCGCCCUGGCCAGCGCUGGGAGCAAGAGGGCCGCGGCGGCGGAUCCCAUCUCACCCUAGGGCCGCAGAAAACGAAAACCAUGGAUGGGAAAUAGCGCGGCGUUAAGAGGAGGGAUGGGAUAGUGGUCGCGCGCGACCGCAUGAGAGCGAGAUGCACGACGAACCUCCACCUCAUUAUAUAUAUAUAUAUAUAUAUAUAUGGUCCGGCUACUAUACUAUCGAUAGUACCAAGCUCUUGAUACUAUUGAUUUUCUACCGUUAGAUCUACCCUUUGAUCAUUUUCACCUGUUAGAAAUAUACUAUUAAACCAACCAUCCACUCAACUUUAGGGACACUAUCAAUUUAACCGGGGACCACUAAUCAUCCUAACCGCACAUCUUUGCAUCCAACGAGCCGAAAUUCAAUAGUACCAAGGGGUUGGUACUAUUGAUAGUAUAGUAGCAUAUAUCUAUAUAUCUAUAUAUAUAUAUAUAAUUAUAUAUAUAAUAUAUAUAAUAUAUAAUAUAUAUAUAUAUAAUAUAUAUAUUAAUAUAGGCUGUGGUUACUAAUACUCAUAUGAGUAUAGAGCACUUUGGUACUCAUAAGUUUUCAACCGUUCAGAUGAAAAAAUGUUGGUUAGGAUGAAAGUGGUUAUGAUUAGGUUGAUAGCGGCCCCUAGGGUUGAGUGGGUGGUUGGUUAAUGUAAUAAUCUAACGGGUGAAAAUGAUUAAAGGUAGAUCUAACGGCCAAAAACUUAUGAGUACAAAUAGACUCUAUACUCAUAAAAGUAUAGUAGCCGGACUAUAUAUAUGAUAUAUACUAUAUAUAUAUAUAUAUAUAUAUAUAUAUAUAUAAUUAGGCUGGAAUACUAUUAAUAGUAAAACGCUAUUUUUGCUAUCAAGUUUUUAACCCUUGGAUGAAAAAUUAUAAGGUCAGGAUGAUAUUAGUCGGUUAGAGUUGAGUGGUCCCCCUAGGGUUGAGUGGUCCCCACUGGGUUAUAGUAUUUAAUCCAAUGGUUAGAAAUAAUGAAAAGAGUUGAUCCAAAGGCUAAAAAACUGAUAGCAAUAAUGAGAUUUUGCUACUAAUAGUAGCCCAGUCCAACUCUAUAUAUAUAUAUAUAUGUGUGUGUGUGUGUGUGUGUGUGUGUGUGUGUGUUUAUUGGAAUUAAUUCUUAUGUUCAUUGAACUUAACUCAUAUAACUUAUUAGUAAUUAUGAUAAAAAAAAAGUGACAAUUGAAAGGUUGCUUCAGAAACACUUGUUCAUAAAAUGUCACUUCAUAAAGCACCCGUUCAUGGUCUAUAUAAGCCCAUAGUGUUGGUUACUGAAGCAUAAAUAAUUGAAGAGUUUAAGUCUCAUUUCAUAAUAAUUUCAUUCUUAUUUUUUCAUUCUAUUUCUUUUUGGCAACUUAAUCGAGUGAGUGCUUCUACUUCAUGUACUUUAUCUACACAAUUGCUCCAACAAUUUUAAGGUUUAAAUUUGAAAAUAUCAGCCACUGCCCUACGAGAGAUGGCAACAAACUUUAUAAGACUAGAAAGAUUUGAUGACAUGAAUUUCAGGCGCCGGUAGAAUAACUUAUUUUUUCUUUUGUCAACUCUCAAAGUUGCUUACUACUCUAAGACCAGAAAAAAAUCAUGAUGAGCAUAUUACACAAACUCUUACAAAAUAAAAAUAGGAUGUAGAUGACAAUAUAUGCUGAGGCAAUAUUCUAAAUUUUAUGUCAGAUGCACUUUUCGACGUUUACGAAAAUGUAAAAACGGCUAAAUAACUAUAGAAGGUUGUUAGGAUUUGGUUAGAUUUGUAGAUUAAUUCUAGUUGGAUAAGAAUUAAUAUUUAAAUCUGUUGGAGAUAAAUUAAGAUUUAAAUAUUAAUUAGAGUAUAAAUCUAACUAGAUUAGGAAAAAUACUUAAAUUUAUUAGAAAUAAACUAAAUAUAGAUUUAAAUAUUUAUUAGAGUAGGAAUUCUAAAUAUAGUAGGAUUUGGGUACGUUUUAUUGUAAUCGUUAUAUAAGCAUUAUGUGGGGUGCUUUUGGAGAGGGAGUACCGCCAAAAAGUUAAAACUAUUUGGUGGGUUGUAUUAGAGAGAGAGAGUUGGCUGGUUGCAUGCAUCUAGUGCACGGGUGCAUGUGAGAGAGAAAGAAAGUUGUCUUUUAGAUUUAUAAAAGACGAGAGAAGGGUAGAAAAAAUUCAGAAAGAGGGCUCGGGUUAUAGCUACUCUGUUGUAAAAGAUGAGUCAGAUAUAAUAUUCUUUUAUUUAAUGAAUCUUAUUUUACCCGCAUAUUUUUUAUUUUUAUUUUUUUAUCUUUUGUGAUUGUAUCAGUUUUUGCUGAGGAGACGGGUUUAUGGUAAAAACCCGAUUUGAUGCUUCCGUUGCAGAAUCCCAACAAUCGGUACCGAAUCCACAACAGUCGGUAUCAGAGUGGGUUGCGGAUUCACAAGAUCCAUUACCGGCGCGAGUACCGGAUUCCCAACAAAGGUCUUGCCGAAAAAUACAAAUUCGAGGAUACCAUAAAUAAGAAAGUUCUUGUUAGCAAAUUUAAUAACUACAAAAUGGUUGAUAAUAGAUCUGUUCUUGAUCGCAUGAAAUUCAACGUAUUCUCAAUCAAUUUACUCAACAUAAUAUGACUACAGAUGAAUCUAUAAUUGUGGUUUCAAUUAUUGACAAGCUUUCUCCACCAUGAAAAGACAUUAAAAAAAAGUCUUAAGCAUAGAAAAGAAGAGAUUACUAUUAGAUUUGGGUAAUCAUCUUCGCAUAAAACAAAAAAAUGGAAUAAGAGAUGGCAAAAAUGAGCAUGAUGCUCAGAGUACCAAAGUGUAUAGGAUGGAGGAUGAGCAUAAUAAGAUUCGUAAACGCACAAAGAAAAUUGAAAGAGAGUCAACCAUCCGAUCAACUAUAACACAAUAAAUAAACUAGGUCAUUACAAGAAAAAAUGUUGGUUCCUCUUAAAGGAAAGUGCACCGAAUUCCAGAAAAAUUUUGUGGCUCUUAUAUUCGAGGCUAACAUUCUCGAAGAUGACAAAGCUUGGCAGAUUGAUUCGACUUCCACAAGGCAUGUGUAUAAUUGUCACACCCCAAUAAUCCCACAUCGGAUAUGAAUGGGGAUGUGAUUGGGUAUAUAAGAGACUUAGACACUAGUAAUAAUAACUGGGCUUAAGUAUUUUGGGCCGGUGGUUGGGCCCAACAAGUUAUUGUUGCUAGUGGGCUGGGUCGUUAUAUUUUGUAUAAGAGCCAAUCACCAGCCGAAAAUGUGUGGCGAGUCUCGGCUGAGGCAGGGUCUGAAAGACAAGGUGAUAAACUAUGCCGGAGUCUAUAUGACAAGGUGAUCGGCUAUGCGAGGGUCAGGAUAAUAAGGUUAGUGAGACGAGUCUCACAUCGCCUGGUGAUCUUAGACUGUAUGUGUGAUUGUUCUGAUGAGGACGUCAAGGCCUUGUUCUGAUGAUUGUUCUGAUGAGGACGUCAAGGCCUUAACGGAGGGAGUCUGUUACACCCCAAUAAUCCUACAUCGAAUAGAAAUGGGGAUGUGAUUGGGUAUAUAAGAGACUUAGACACUAGCAAUAAUAAUUGGGCUUAACCAUUUUGGGCCGGUAGUUGGGCCCAACGAGUUAUUGUUGCUAGUGGGCUAGGUCGUUACAAUAAUGACAGAAGUUUACUCAUAAUUUAUGAUGCAUUGAAUGAUGAAAACAUUCUCUAUAUGAGCAACUCUUCAAUAGCACAAAUCAAGGAAAAAUGGUAUGGUGCAACUCGAGUUCACAUCAGGAAAAACUCUUUCUCACAAAUGCAUAUCAUGUACGUGAAGUGAGGAAAAUUCUUGUUUCAGGUAGUUUUCUUACUAUCCAAACAUUCUAAUAUAUAGAAUAGUUGGAUAGUAAAAAUAAUAUUUUGAAAGAUUAGAUAGAUGAUUCAAAAUGUUCAUAGUUUAAAAAAGUUCUCUAGAAUUUUAUUUUGAUUUUAAUAUCAAAUUCCAAUGUCAUAUUUAUUGUCUGACGAGCAAUCAAUUUAACAUUUAAAUUUUUUGGAAUAUCCAAAAUAUGAUUGGUCAACUUUUAAUUUUAACAAUAAAUUUGUUAGAUAGUUUGACGUAUUCUUUUCUUGAAUGCAAUUAUUAAUUGAAUAAAACCAAUUGAUGCUCAACUUUAUCUUCAUCUAGAAUGAUAAUAUUUUUGGUCUUCAAAUUAUAAGACCUGUGACAUUAUAGUCCUCGAAAUUUAAUGCGUUACGUUUUCUUACUUAAAGUAUGAGAUAUGUAACACUUUAGUCUCCAAACUUUUAUUAGUCGCAAUUUCUAGCUUGAACUAUAAGCAUAUGAUAUUUUAAUUCUCAAUUUUUACAGCUGUUAUGAAUAUAAUUUAUUACUUUUAUAAUUUUUUUCUUAUUUCUUUAUGCUUCUUAUAUUUUUAUUCUUAUACUUAUUCUUUAGUUUCUUUUAUUUGUAUUUUUUUAUUCUUUGAAUUUCUUUCAUUUUUUUGUGGGCUUUUUUUGCAAUUGGACCCCUGAAAAAAAUUAUUUUUAAAAAUAACCCCAGCAAAUUUAUAUUUGCAAAAAUGACCCUGUCCCUGCCACACAAGCGCCACGUCAGCCCCACGCGGACGGGGCUGGGAGCAGUAGUUAAGUUAAACAUGGUGAACCAUUCACCGUAUUUAGACACGGUGAACCAUUCACCGUGUUUAGAGCUAGUACGUAUUUUUUGCAAUAUAAAUAUUGAAAAGAGGAAUAGGGAAUAGCAAUGUCAAUGGGUAUGGAUAUCCGAAAUAUUAUUCAAACCCAAACCCGAAUAAAUUAUAUAUAUACAUAAUUUAUUUUUAUUUAUUUAUACAAUAUAUAAAAUAUUUAAUAAUUUUUAUUCCUUAGAUCUUUAUCCAACGGUAUAGAUUUUUAAAACCCGCUGGAUUUAGGUUCGGGUUUGGAGUUUUUGGUCGGAUAUAGAUAUGGGUAUGAAUUUUUAAAAUCCGUCGGAUUUGGGUUUUAAUUUGAUUUUCGGGUUCGGAUUUGGAUUUUUGAAAAAGGGAAAAAAAAUAAGGAAUACAAAGAUGAAACACGGUGAACCAUUCACCGUGUUUGAACACGGUGAAUGGACGGUGAAUGGUUCAUCGUGUUCAACUUAACACACUGGCUCCGGCCCUGCUCGCGUGGCGCUGACGUGGCGCCUGCGUGGCAGGCCUAGGGCCAUUUUUGCAAAUUAAUUUUGAUAGGACUAUUUUUAAAAUAAAAAUUUGUCAGGGGGCUACAUGCAAAAAAAGCCCCUUUUUUAUUUUUUUAACUUUAUUUGUUUAUUUAUUUAUAUAGAAUCCACCAAUGUGCGGGUGCCUAUAUUAGUAUUUAUGGUUUCUAGGUUUGUCGAUCCCACGUGGAGUAUAUGCAACUACGGAAGACUCUUUUGUGAAUUAAGGGUCGUCAGCAGUUGGAUUCGUGCAGAUUUUUAAAAAUCUGAAACUUGAAUCUGACAAUGAAAUCCAAAAUCCAGAUCCGAAUUCGAAUUUGAAUUUGAAUUCGACGGAUUUUAAAAAUUUAUAUUCAAAAUUGAAUUAGAUUAAAAAUGCAAAAUCUGAAUCCGAAUAUGAUACACUCAUUUAUCUUUACCAUAUUUCAAAAUAUAUUAUAUUAAAAUUUUAAAUUUUAAAAUAUUAAUUCAAACAUAAUAUCAAACAUUUAUAUAUUUAGAUAAUAUAAAACCUAUUUGGUCCCGAUCGGAUUCCGAUUGGAUAGGGUAUAGAUAAAAUUCAUAUCUGAAUCCGAAUACUUAGGAUUUUAUUUUGUAUAUCCAUAACCGAAAUCCUAUCGGUUUAACCUCUAGUAUCUCUUCUCAUUUGGAUUCGGAUUUGAAUAGAAUUGUGAUAUCCAUAUCUAUAGACAUCACUAUCUGCAUAGACCUGACAAUCUCAAUCUGUACCUGCCAAUAUCGUCGGGUUACCUACUGUUAGGCCAAUAACGCGCGGCCACGUGGUAUGCUGGUGCACCAUUCAACCCCAAUCCUUAAGAGCAAGAAUUAAAGAAGAUUUUGGUGUACACUAGAAGCAUCGACAAUAAUACUAAGUAACCGCCAGGUGUAAUUAAAAGAAGUUACAGUAACUAUAAGUGGUUACGAGCUAUUCUGAUCGGUUUAAAGUGGUCCGGAAAAAUAGGAGUAGUGGCCGAUCAUGGAUGGGAUAAUAACAGAUCAAUAGGGGCGACCUAUAAAUAGACAAAUAACGCCCAGAAGAAAGGUCUUUUUUUUCAGAAUAGAAAACCACCUUUAUUUCCUCUGUAUUUUUCUCGCAUUUUCUAGGAGUAGUCUACUUGUAAUUUUUUACUUUUUCGCAUCUAUUGUUUUCCUAGGAGUAGAUUUAAGUUAAAUCAACCGAGUCUGUAUGCCCUCAGGCACACUCGUCCUUUGUACUAGUUUUACAAGUUAAUUACAAUAUAUAAAGGCAUUCGGCUGUUCAGCUGACCCAAAGCACAAUGUAUUCUGUACAUUCGGCUCAUCCAGCCGAACAGAAUCGACAGUAGAAGGUUUUGAACUCGACUGAUCCGAUCCCUCAUCAGCCGAAUCGCUUAAUCCAGUCAAAAGGCGCAAACUUUGAGGGUCACCAUUCACAGCCGUUCCGCAUCCCGACAUUCUUCUCGAGAGAGAUCUUUGACCGGGUCAAAAGACCAGAGAAUUCGGCUCCUAAUAAUUUUUGGCACGCUCUGUGGGACACAGCCUAGAUAAAUUUACUUUCUUACUGAAGUUGUGACUGAUGAUAAUGCCAUGAAUUUGCGCAAUAGGGUCAUUCCUAAAAAUUUCGGGAGCGAUCAACCCAAUAAUUCAGAUAAUGCUGGCGAAUGCCAAGCAGCCUUGCCAGUUAAAGGUAAGACUAGUGGUCAAUCUGACCAACAAGAGUCUAGUUUGGCUCAAGUACUUAGACAAAUGACACGGGUCCUACAAGUAUUGGACCAAAAUAGUCAUAGGAGUACUGACCGUUUAGAUGCAGUACUAGCCGCAAUCACGGCCUCUAACGAGAAUAUUGCCCAAAUAGGGCAAUUAUUGACUCGUAAUGAACAACCUAUAACAGGUCUGCAAGGGCCUAUAAUUACACCGGUGUUACAAAAUCUUGUAACACCGGCGAAUGGUCAACCCCAAUAUCAGGGGGCACCAUUUCAGGUGGCUAACAGACCAGUUGUUGCAAACGUCGGUCAACAACCAGAAAUAGAUUGGGGAUUACCACCUCCUCGGUCAGUGGCAGCAUAUCAGCCUCAAAAUGUAGGAGCUAGGGCUGGAGGGCAGGCCCCAAAUAUACAAGGGAUUAACCCUGCAGUGCAAAAUUUCGGUCUACCACUAGAACCGAAUCUAGUUUAGGCAUAAGUGCCUGUGUCUUUAUAAGGGAUAAGGGAAUAACAAUAAAAUUUAUGCUCAAAUUGAAGAAACCAUCCGAAACACUUUCGGAGUUGGAGCUAGGCCGGCAAUACGGCCUGUGUUUAUAUCACCUGAUCCCGCAAAUAUAGAUACAGAGCACCCUUAUCCGGCAAAUUGAAAAAUGCCGAAAUUCGAUAAAUUUUCUGUUGAUGAGACCGAAAAUACUGUCGAACAUGUUACAUGGUUUACGGCACAAUGCCGAGAAGCUGCUGCAGAUCCAUUCUUGAAACUCAGAGUAUUCGCUUUUUUUAAAAAUAAAAAAAGUAAAUACUCUUUUUGUUUUUAUCCGUUCUUAGGAUUCUAACACUAUUUUUUUUAGUAUUAUUUUUUUAUUUUUAUUAUGUAUUGUAUAUUAUAAUAUUUUAAAUAAUAAGUUAAAUUUUAAUUUAUAUUUGAAAAAUAUAAGAAUAAAAAAAAAAACUUUCUGAGUAACUCAUAUAGCAUUCCAUCUACCUGCAGACUUGUAUAAAUAAAAAUAAUAAUUAUUUUAAAAUUUAUGGAUAAAUUUUAUUUGUAUCAGCAUUAUCUACAACAGGUACACUGGCCCAUCUGCAUAUUGGUAAAAGUUUCCCUUCGGCAGAUCUACUGUAAUGUCAGUGUUGAUCCUAGCAUUUGCUUUACUUUCUUUUAUUUACUCAUUAAGAUAUCGGCCCGUGAAGCUCGCGCACCUUCUCUAUAGAAUAUCCGUACAUUUAUUGUAGAUAAUAAUUUUUUCACCGGAUGCAGCAUGUGCAUUCAACUGGACAAAAGUUUUGGGGACGAUACAGAGGGGCGCCACGUCCCUUAUCUGUCGAUCUGUCUCUCUCUCUAGAAACACACGGUAUUUUUUUUUCUUUAUUAUUAAUAAUUUAUUAUUUAUAAUUAAGUAUUAUUAAUUUUUAAUAAUAAUUAAUAAUAAUUAUUAUUAUCUAUUAGAUAAUAAAUAUUAUUAUUUUAUUAUUUAUAAUAAAUUAUUAAUAAUUUAUUCAUUAUUUAUUUGGCCAAUUUGCAUAAAAAAUUCACUUAUUUUGGGCUUUUGCAAAAUCGGGCCAUUUUUUUGGUUUUUGCAGAUUCGAUCCGCUUUUUCAGCAAACUGACCAAAAUACCCUUAUACCUUUUUCUCUUUCCUCUUUCUCUCUCCUCUUUUUUUUCUCUCGUUCUUUUUUCUUUUUUUUCCCAGAGAGCGGCGAAGAUGGAGCGGAGGUGCUCUUAUACCUUUUCUUUUCUCUUUUUUCUCUCGUUCUUUUUUUUCUUUCUGUUCCCAGAGAGCGGCGAAGACAGAGCGGCGUCGUCACCGGCGCCCCCACCUUCCUCGCCUCCGAUCCCCCCAAGGCCGGGCUGUGACUUUUUUUUUUUUUGUAUUUUUCUUUUCUUUUCUUCUCUGACUCUCCUCCACAAUUUCCGACGACGGCGCCUCUCUCGCUCUUCCCUGCCCUUCUCAUCUCUCCUUCUCCCUCCUUCUCUGCUGCCUCCGACGACGAUGCAUCUUCGCCGACACCGACGCCGACACCGUCGAGAUCACUGCGGCGCUGCAGCCUCGGAGUGGGGGGUCUUUAGCGGCGUCGUCACCGACACAGUGGCUAUUGACAGAGAGGGUGACAAAAAAAAAAAGAAAUAGAAAAAAAAUAAAGAUAAAAAAUAUAUAAAAAAAAGGAUGAAGAUGAAAUUGUAUCGUUAACUACAAAAAAAAUUACAAGUUGCACUACUUAAGAUGUAAACUGCAGCUUUAAGAUGAAAAUUACACUCUUUAAACGAAAAUUACACUCUUUGAAAGAUAUUUACACUGUUUCUCUUCUUAUUGCACUCUUUCAGAUAUAAACUGCACCCACUAAGAUAAAAAUUACACUCUUUAAAUGAAAGUUGCACUGUUUCUCCUCUUGUUGCACCGUUUCUCCUCUUGUUGCAUCAUUUCUCCUCUUGUUACACUAUUUUUUAUCUUAAACUGCACCCAUUUAAGAGAUAUUUAUACUGCUUCUCCUCUUGUUGCACUGUUUCUCCUCUUGUUGCACUGUUUCUCCUCUUUAAAGAGGAGAAACAGUGCAACAAGAGGAGAAACAGUGCAACAAGAGGAGAAGCAGUAUAAAUAUCUCUUAAAUGGGUGCAGUUUAAGAUAAAUGGGUGCAGUUUUUUUUCUUGUUGCACCAUUUUUUCUCUUGUUACACUGUUUUUUAUUUUAAACUACACAUCUUUAACAGAUAUUUAUACUGCUUCUCCUCUUGUUGCACUGUUUCUCCUCUUGUUGCACUGUUUCUCCUCUUUAAAGAGGAGAAACAGUGCAACAAGAGGAGAAACAGUGCAACAAGAGGAGAAGCAGUAUAAAUAUCUGUUAAAGAGGUGCAGUUUAAAAUAAAAAACAGUCCGACUCCGUUCGCCGCGGCCGCUGCCGCUGCGGCGACGGGAUCGGACUGGGGGUCCGCGGCGGACGCGGCGUCUCGACGUCGUCGUGGGAGAAGCAGAGACGCUGGUCGGCGGCUUCUGCGCAGCGGCGGGAGGAGAGGCGGCGCCAACGGAGAAGAACACGCGCGGCGCUGGUGCCGGCGCCGGUUGCGCUUCCGCCUCCCCCUCCUGCGCCCUGCCGCUUGGCCUCCCCUUCUUCUUCUUCGCCGUUGUCUUCUUCUCCGCAUCCAGCCCGACCCCGUUCGCCGCGGCCGCUGCCGCCGCGGCGACGGGAUCGGGCUGGGGGUCCGCGGCGGCGGAGGAGAGGAGGAGGGGGUCGCGGGCGGUGGAGAGGAGGGUGAGGAGGGGGGCGACGGUGAAGAAGGAUGGUGAGGAGGGAGGCGACGGUGAAGAAGAAGGCGACGGUCCGCCUUUUUUUUUUGGCGAGAAAAAAAAAAAAAAGAACGACAGAAACGAAGAGGAGAGAGAAAGAGGAAAGAGAAAAAAUAAUAAGGGUAUUUUGGUCAGUUUGCUGAAAAAGCGGACCAAAUCUGCAAAAACGAAAAAGGUGACCGGGUUUUGCAAAAGCCCAAAAUAAGUGGAUUUUUUAUGCAAAAAGGCCUAUUUAUUUUAAAUAAUAUUUUGAUGUUAAUUAAUUAAAUAAUAUGAUUUUAAUUUCAAAUUAUAACUUUUAUUUUUUUUGUUUCAAUUUAGCAAUCCAAACACUAUCUAUUUUUAUUCAAAUAUAAAAUUAAUAUAAUUUCUGCUUACAUCUAAAUUUAUAUUUAUUUUUAAUAUAAGCAGUUGUUAUUUAUACCUAAAUCGAACGUAGUCACGGUGUAACGAAGCUUUACUGAAAAUUUUUAUCCCAUUCAACCGAACCGUGUCCACCAAAAUUAAAGCUCCACGGCUCGGCGUACAAUCAACCAAUUUGCCAUGGCAAUCACCGUAGAUGUCGUUUCCCGCAGGACCGUGAAACCCUCCACUCCGACCCCUCCCCAUCUCCGCUCCUACCAGCUCUGCUGGAUCGAUCAGAUCACCCCCGUCUACCACCUCCCCGUCGUCUUCUUCUACUCUGCCGCCGACGCCGACGCCGAUCUCGAAAUUUUGAAAUCUUCGUUGUCGACUGCGCUAGCCAGUUUCUAUCCGCUCGCCGGCAGGAUGAGCGGCAACUCCAUCGUCGACUGCGGCGAUCAGGGCGUUGACUUCUUGGAAGCCCGCGCGCCCGGCGCCGACCUCUCGGAGAUUCUGAGCUCCGACGAACCCGAUCUCGACGAGGUGAAGAAGUUCCUCCCUUGUAGCAAAGGCGAGGCCUCUUGCUGUGACUCUGAGCCGACAGUCAUUCUCUCGGUGCAAGCCACCGUAUUCCGAUGCGGCGGCAUUGCCGUCGGCCUCUGCGUCUCGCACAAGAUCGCCGACGGCCGAUCGCUAUUCUCGUUUCUGCAAGCGUGGGCCGCGGCGGCCAGAGGUUCCUCCUCGUCCGAGAAUUCCCCGUCGUUCGACGGCGCUGCUGUUUUUCCGCCGAAUGCGAAUGCAGUUCCGUACGAGGGCGAGAAACCGCCGGAGAACAAGCCGCCGCAGGUCCGGAAGCGGUUCGUGCUCGACGGGCCGAGAAUCGCGGCGCUGAGGGAGAAGACGGCGUCUUCGGCGACGACGCGAUUCCAGGCGGUGGCGGGGCUCGUCUGGCGGUCCGCAUUGCGGGCGCGGCCCCGCGCGCGCGCGGCGGUGGCGACGCUGGUUUUGGACUCGCGGUCGCGGACGGAGCCGCCGACCCCGAUCGGCUCCUUCGGCAACCGCUGCAUAGCGAUUCUCGUCGGCAUUCCGAGAGAUGUGGUGGAGAACGUUGCGUCCGACGUGACUAAUGAAAGCGCAAACAACGUGCUGGAGGCGGAGAUGGGCGCCGCGGUGGAGGGAGUGGACGCCGAGUACGUGCGGCGGCUGCAGGGCGAGGACGGGUGGCUGAGGGCGUCGGAGCUGACCUUGGAGGAGGUGCAGAAGUGCGGCGGGUUGGCGGAGGCGGGGUUCGAUAUGAACAUCUUCAGCAGCUGGCUGCGGCUGCCGGUGUACGAGGUGGACUUCGGGUGGGGGCCGGCGGCGUGGGCCUGCACGACGCUGCUGGGGCCCAGCGCCAUGGUGGUGCUGCCGCGGCCGCCCUCCGCGGGGGACCCGCAGGGGAUGGAGGUCUGGGCGUCGCUGGGGGAGGACGAGAUGGCGGAGCUCCAGCGGGAGCUGGACAAGCUGGUCCCCCUGAACCCGGUCCACCACGUCGGCCAGCCGUGAACCAGGAUCUGCGUUGCGUAGUUCUCUUCCUCCGUCAAAUUUCUGCAUUGAAAUUUGACUUUUUUAUAUCCAUAUUCGAAGUUCUAUCCAUUUAGCCUUCAAUUAACUUGUGACUUUCGAAUUUAAAUUUGAAUAAAUUUUGAGUGUUCAUAUAGAGGGACAUCACGAUCUGUGGUACUGUGAUGGCACUGGAUUCUAAGCAUCUUCUUUUUACUCAUUAAAAUAUCAUCGCAUGCAACUCGCGUGCCUAAAUUUGCGCGCUCAUCCCACGUAUUAAUUAUCUUUACUUUCUUCUGAUCCCUCGGUCUACGCGCUUGCUCCAUUAAUUGUUUCAGAGAGGAAUUACUAUUAGGUAAAAAUAAAAAUAACAAACCUAUAGUUGGCAAUGUUUCAUGAAAAAAUUAGGAUUAUAAUUAGGACCAACAAUGCAGCUCAUUAUUUGUUAGUCAGUUUGUAUUCAUUUUGAAAUGAACUCAAUAUCGAUCACUCGUUUAAAAAAUAUAUAAAAUAUAAGCUGAAUUUUUCAACUUAUAAUCUAAACGAGUUGAACUCAGGUUACGAUAUGCUUAUUCAUGUUCAGCUCCAUAUAUAUAUAUAUAUGCUUAUUCGUGUUCGGCUCGAUAUAUAUAUAUAUAUAUAGUAGGGCUAGAAUACUUUUACAAGUAUCACCCAAGUGAUACUUGUGUGUUUUUAGCCCUUAGAUGGAGAGAUGUGAGGUUGAGAUGAUGGUGGUAGGUGGUGGUAGGUGGUGGUAGGUGGAAUAGUGUUUGAUCCAAAGGCUAUUUGUAAUCAAAAAGUAGAUCCAAUGGCUAAAAACGUAAUGGCAACAUGGGGAUGAUACUUGUAAAAGUAUCCUAGAUCAACUCUAUAUAUAUAUAUAUAUAUAUAUAUAUAUAUAUAGAGAGAGAGAGAGAGAGAGAGAGAGAGAGAGAGAGAGAGAGAGAGAGGGAGAGAGUUGAGCUAGAAUACUAUCGGUAGCAAACGGACUCAAUAUAAAUGAUGUCGAAAAAUUAUGAAAUUUAGUUUUCAAAUAUUUUUAAUACUGUAGAUCAAGUCUAACAGAAUCGAUCGUCGAUUUGAAAGCCGCAUCAUUAAAAACAACUUGAUAGCAUGGAAGCCUCCGUGCUACCGAUAGUAUACCAACCUAACUAUAUAUAUAUAUAUAUAUAUAUAUAUAUAGAGAGAGAGAGAGAGAGAGAGAGAGAGAGAGAGAGAGAGAGAGAGAGAGGGAGAGAGUUGAGCUAGAAUACUAUCGGUAGCAAACGGACUCAAUAUAAAUGAUGUCGAAAAAUUAUGAAAUUUAGUUUUCAAAUAUUUUUAAUACUGUAGAUCAAGUCUAACAGAAUCGAUCGUCGAUUUGAAAGCCGCAUCAUUAAAAACAACUUGAUAGCAUGGAAGCCUCCGUGCUACCGAUAGUAUACCAACCUAACUAUAUAUACAUAUAUUCGAGUUUUUAUCAAGCCAAACACAAGCAAGUUGAUCUUAGCUCGUAUUCGGAUCGUUUAUUAAACGAGCUAAAAAAUUCAACUCAUAUUCGGCUUAUUUACUAAACGAGCGAUUUGAUUUCGAAAUUAUUUCGAGCCCAACACGAGCUGGUACGCAAACAGCGAACUGGAUUGUCACUCCUAAGAUCAAUAAAUUUGUAAACAAUUAGUUGCCAAUGUAAUAAAUUUAAAGUUACUAAAACGUAUAGAAUAGUCAAUAAAUUAAAUAAUUUAUUUAAUUCAUUCGAACAAAAGCACUUAAUUCUGUUGGAUUUUGCAUGUAAGCCCAUGUUCCGAAACCAUCCAAAAUAUACAAAACUUUUAUAUCCAAGAAGCCGGGAGCACGAGCUUCUUUUUUCUUUUUUUUCUUUUUUUUUUUGUGGGCAAAAAUAUAAAAUUUUUUAAGAAAAUUAAAAUAAAAAAAUAAAGUUAAUAGGGACUAUUUCAAUAGAUUCUAUUCCAUAAUUAAUAUAGUGGAGGGGGUUCCCUUCAAUUUUUAUUUUUAUUUUUCAAAUUUUUUAUGGCCUUCCACGGUAAGGACUGAGGAGAUGCCGGGCCUUGGACGUCAGAAAAAAUUCAAAAAACCAAGAAGCGCUUCCUCCUGCAGCGGGAAAGGGCUUCUAGGGAUUAGUGGGAAUAUAAGGAGGGGUUUUUUUUAUCUUAAUCUUAAAAAAAAAAGUAAAUAAAAUUAUGUAGAGUAAGUUGAAAUAUCAUCCAAAAUAUGAUCACUCGGCCUAAAAUUCUUAAGUUCAGUUAUUAUUUAGUGUGUCCGUCACUUAUAAACCUAUCAGAUUAUCCGGUAUGGGAUUAUUGGAAUGUCACGUUCUCGUCAGUCCAGUCCGAUCACACUUUUCUACAUUAUCCGAUGUGAUUCACCGGUCGGAAGUGUGAAAUCCAGACUUACCAGGUUGGUUAUUAGGGUCCGAUAUGGGAUUAUUGGGAUGUCACAUUCUCGUCUGCCCAGUCCAAUCACACUUUCUCAUAUUAUUCGAUGUGAUUCACCAGUUGGAAGUUUGAGAUCCAGAUUUACCAAACUGGUUAUCAGGCUCUGAUACUAUAUAUAACAAUCCGACCCUUAGUAAUAAUAACUCGUUGGGUCCAAAAUGCUUAAACCGAGUUAUUAUUAUUAGUGUGUUUGUCACUUAUAAACCGAUUACACUUUACCAUAUUAACUAAUGUGGAACUAUUGGGACGUCACAUUUUAUGCCUCCAAGCAGUAAGUAUGAUUUUUUUUUUUUUUUNAUAUAUAUAUAUAUAUAUAUAUACAUACAUAUAUAUAUAUAUAUAUAUAUACAUACAUAUAUAUAUAUAUAUAUAUAUACAUACAUAUAUAUAUAUGGAAUUAGGCUACUAUACUAUCUAUAGUACCGGAGCACCGGUACUACAGUCUUGUUUUAGAUCUUAGGGUGUUCAAAUUAACGAUCCACACCGUUAAAUAUGAUCUAGGAUAUAUGAAGUUCUUAGAAUUAAAAUUUUAGUUUUUUUCGACAUCGUUUACUUAGUAAAUAAAUUAUGUCAAAAUAGAUUGUGAAAAUUGAAUAAUCUUUAAAAUUUGAGCAUAGGACUUUUAAAUUCAAGAUCAAGAAUAUUAACCUUAAUAUAGAUAGUUUAAGUAUUUUCUAUCAAAAUUUGAAGAAGUUUAGAUUCUUCUAUACCAUUAAACUCCAAACUCGCCAUAAUAGCCAUUGAAAAUUGACAAUUUUGAAAUAGUUUGAUCAUAAAGUAAACUAUGUCGAAAAAAUAUAAAAUUUUAUUUCUAAAAACUUUAAAUACCCUAAAUCAAUUUUAACGGUAUGGAUCGUUGAUUUGAACACCCUAAGAUCGAAAACAAGACUAUAGUACCGGAGCUCCGGUACUAUAUAUAUAUAUAUGAGUGCGGCUAGGAUGCUUAUGGAAGCACGGAGGGCUCCGUGCUUCCACUUUGUUUUCGAUGUUCGGACUUUCGAAUCGACGAUCGACUCCGUUAGACUUGAUCUAGAGUAUUUGAAGUAUCUAGAAAAUAAAUUUUGCGAUUUUCCGAUAUCAUUUGCCUAGUGAUCGAAGUGGCUCAAAAUCAACGGCUGAAAAUAAAAAUCUUACAAAAUAUGAUGAUAUGACAUUAAAAUUUUAGAUCAAAGUUAUUGAUCUUGUUUUAUAUGGUAUAAAAAAUUUUCUAUCAAAAUUUCAUGUGAUUUGGAUAUUUCUACACCGUUAAACUUGCAACCGGCUCACCCACGACCAUUAAACUUAUUGAUUUUGAACCCUUCGAUCACUAUGCAAAUGAUAUCGAAAAAAGCACAAAAUUUAUUUUCUAGGUACUUCAAAUACUACUAGAUCAACUCUAACGGAGCCGAUCGUCGAUUCGAAAGUGCCGAACAUCGAAACAACUUGAAGCACGGAGGCUCCGUGUUCCAUAAGCAUACCAGCCCACUCAUAUAUAUAUAUAAUUAUAUAUAUAUAUAUAUAUAUAUAUAUAUAGAAAUUAGGCUACUAUACUAUCUAUAGUACCGGAGCCCCAGUACUAUAGUCUUGUUUUCGAUCUUAGGGUGUUCUAAUUACGAAUCCACACUGUUAAAUAUGUCUAGGGUAUAUGAAGUUUUUAGAAUAAAAUUUUAGUUUUUUUCGACAUCGUUUACUUAGUAAAUAAAUUACGUCAAAAAUGGACGGUGGAAAUGAAUAAUCUUUAAAUUUGAGCAUAGGACUUCAAAUCAAAUCAAGAAUGUUAACCUUAAUCUAGAUAGUUUAAAGUAAUUUCUAUCAAAAUUGAAGAAAUUUAGAUUCUUCUACAGUUAAACCCAAACUCGCCUAGUGCUAUUGAAAAUUGACAAUUUUGAAAUGGUUUGAUCAUAAAGUAAACUAUGUCGAAAAAUAUAAAAUUUUAUUUCUAAAAACUUUAAAAUAUCUUAGAUCAGUUUUAAACGGUGUGGAUUGUUGAUUGAAUACCCUAAGAUCGAAAACGGGACUAUAGUACCGGAGCCCCGGUACUACAGAUAGUAUAGAGACUAUAUAUAUAUAUAUAUAUAAUUGAGCUCCUAUGCUUUUAAAGUACCAAGUUUAUUAUACUUGUAGAUUUUUAGGCCAUUGAUAAGAUAUAUGCGGUUAGGAUGAUGUGGCCUCUAGGUUGAGUGGGUGUUGGUUGAAUGGUAUAAUAAUGGUUAAAAAUGAUCCGAGGAGUAGAUCUAACGGUUAAAAAACUUAUAAGCACCAAGCAGCUAGAAUACUAUCAGUAGCAAACGGGUUCCGUUGCCACCCAUCUGUUUUCGAUGAUGAAGCCUCAAAUCGAACGAUGCGCCACCGUUGAACAUGAUCUAUACCACUUGAAGUAUUUAGAAAUCAAAUUUCAAAUCUUUUCGACAUCAUUUGCCUAAUGAUCAAAAGGUUUCACAAUUUGUAAUUUUAAUGGUUGAUAUGAGGCGUUUUCUUGUUUAACGGUGUAAAUAUAUCCAAAUUAAUUGAAAUUUUGUUAAAAAAUUUUUUAAACUAUUUAAAACAAGAUCUAUACUCUUGAUCUUGAUUACAAGACUCCUAUCAUCAUUUUUUAAAGAAUAUUCAUUUUCAGCCGUUCAUUUUUGUGUCCACUCGAUGGAUAAGAGAACAAUAUCGAAAAUAUAUGAAAUUUGAUUUCUAAACACUUCAAGUGGUAUAGAUCAUGUUUAAUGGUGCCGAUCAUCGAUUUGGAGGCUCCAUCAUCGAAAAUAAAUAGGUGGCAACGGAGCCCGUUUACUAUCGAUAGUAUUCUAGCUCAACUCUCUCUCUCUCUCUCUCUCUCUCUCUAUAUAUAUAUAUAUAUAUAUAUAUAUAGAAUUAGGCUGGAAUACUAUUAGUAGUAAAACACUCUUUUUGCUAUCAAGUUUUAACCCUUGGAUGAAAAAUUGUAGGGUUAGGAUGAUAUUAGUCACUAGAGUUGAGUGGUCCCCCUAGGGUUGAGUGGUCCGCACUGGGUUAUAGCAUUUAAUCCAAUGGUUAGAAAUGAUGAAAAGAGUUGAUCCAAUGACUAAAAAACUAGUAGCAAUAAUGGAAUUUUGCUACUCAUAGUAGCCCAGUCCAACUCAUAUAGCUACUAUACUAUUAUGAGUAUUCGAGCCCUCAUACUCAUAAGUUGUUUUCGAUGAUGGAGCUUCCGAAUCGACGAUCCACUUCGUUAAAUAUGAUCUAAAGUAUUUGAAACUUUUAGAAAAUAAAUUUCGUAAAUUUUCGAAAUCAUAAUAAAGUCCAUCAAGCGGGCAUAAAAUGAACAAUCAAAAUUGAACGACAUCCUAAAAAAGGAUGAUCGGAUCCUUCAAUUCAAGAUUGGAGUUAUUGAUCUUUAUCUAGGUAGUGAAGAGAAUUUUCUAUCAAAAAUUCAACAAAUUCUGAUUCUUUUACACUGUUAAACUAGCAAGUAUCCCAUGCCGGCCAUUAAAAAUUGUCAAUUUUGUGACCUCUUGAUCGUAA